rnacentral:lncRNA from 1 species
GCGUCUUCCGACGUCUGCCUCGUGAAGAUGCGGGAGAAAGCGAGCAUGCGCAUGAGGCGGCGGAGCUGCGGAAGUCUGGCGGCUGGGAGAUCGAGCGCGGCGACGAGGUCGGGGACGGAGGUGGGGCCGCCGUGGCGGUGGAUGGCGUCGGGUAUGCCGAGCUCGACGGCGCACUUGAGCGACAUGGAUUUGAGGAAGACGAACAGGUGGUUCCAUAAGUCGGAUUGAGCCGCGAUGAGUAGAUCGUCGUCCCAGUACUGCUCCAUGAUUUGUUGCUCCAACAAUAUAUUCUACUCGUCGGUGUUUCUUAAUUAAAUAUAUAAGUAUGAAAUAUAGUUCUUUACCAUUUUUUUAUAUUAUUAGCUAGUGUGUGGCCGGGAAUAGAGGGGAGGAUAAGGGCUCCCUCAAACACCAAUUUAGGGGGUGCCCACCCCAAAAGAGUUAUGCAGGAUAAUUAUUGAUUACUGCAUUUCUGGAAUGACUAGGUAUAAUUUAAAGAGAAUCAAGAUAUUAUUUUUUAUACUUAAUUUACAACAACACUUACAAAUACUGUAAACAUUUUUUUGUUUCCAAUUUUUUUUCUUCAUUAUUGAAGAAAAAAUUGUGGUGUUGUCGGAAUCAUCUUUUUUGAAAGAUAUUUUUAUUGUGAUCACGUCCUCCGAAAACGUGCCUUUUGGGAUCAACAGAUGAGAAGAAUUUCAGUAAGAAAUUUAACAUAGAGUCAGAGAUUGUUACAAUACUAAACAGAUUUCAAAAAAUAAUUUUAACAUUGUUGGUUGUAUGGAACAUCCAGAUGAAUACUAAUUAAAGAUAUUAUACUUAAAAAUUUUUAUUAUAAUGUAUAUAAAAAUAUUCUAAUGAAUAUUUUGACUGUAUUUUUUUAAUUAUAAUUUCUUCAAUCUUUAAUUCUUAAAAUUUUAUAUAAUAAUUAAUUAAAAUAAUAUUUAUUUGCAGCAAAACGCAAGUCUAAUACUAGUCCACUUUAAAGGGUGUAUAUGGUACGAUAGAAAAAGGAUCGAUUGUGCUGGCAAGGAUAAAGACAUGAAAAAAAAGAUCGUAGGAGAGCUCUGUAUCCAAUCCCUUCUCUUUGGGCCAUCUUUUCUUAUGCAUGCAUCGCGCGUUCAUCUUUCCUUUCUUCCAAGCAAGCCGCCUAUAGAAGGAUUAAUCUGCUGUGCUUUUUGGCUUUCGUUGAUUAUUAUACCGGAGAGUGAUGUUCCCGGGCAAGCCAUUAAUUAUUUAAUUAGUUAAUCAAUUAUAAAAAUAAAUCAAUUAUUAUGUAAAUACUUAUUAAUUUAAUUAUUUAAUAAUUAAUUAGCUAAUUAUUUAAAAAUUUUAAUUAUAUUAAUUAAUAAUAUUUUAUAAUGAUUUAUAAUUUAAUUAGUACAUAAAUAAGAUAGAGGAUAAUUUAUUCUAUUUAAUAGGCGAAACUACUAUUUUUCUCUCUUACCAGGUGAUUUCAAAAUAAUCCAUUAAGGCUGCGUUUGGUUACAGGAUUUAAUAGGAAUAACACAUUUUAUUCUUGCAAUUCUGCCAAGCAUAAGUAAAAUUGGAAGGGAUAUUUACACUACUACAGGUACAAGAUUUAGUGGCGACAAAUGUUGCCAUCAUAGCCAAAAUUGUCGCUACGAAAAACGUUUUGGCGGCGACAAUUUGUCGCCGCAUGCCGCUGCCUAAAAUUCCGUCGGUAAAACUAUUUGGUGGCGACAUAUAGUCACCGCGAAAAGUUAGAUAAUUAGCGGCGACAUACUGUCGCCGUCAAAACUUUAAAUAAUUAAUUUUAUGUCUACUUUUAUGGUGGCGACUAUUGUCGCCACCAAUUUUUUGAUCUAAAAUUAAUUUUUUUAAAAAAAUAAUUAGUAGUAAUAGAUAUUAUUAAUUUACUAUAAAAAUUUUAAUUGCUCUCAUUCUUAACUUUUAACCUUUAAUUUCAAUUUAAUCCUCUCAAAACCAAAUUAAAUCCAAGCACAUGGCUCAAACACCUUAGAACCAAUAUAUAUUAAAUCUAGUUGAAUCUCUAUAAAGUAUUUGAUCAUAAAAUUAAUCCACACAAAUAAGUAAGACUGAAUCAAAUUUUAAAUAUUAAGAAGAGUACAAAUAAUCAUAUAAGGCAAAUAAGUAACUUAAAUUGUCUCACAAGAACCAUAUUAGAGUAUCAUUGUCAUCUUAUACAAUCACCCAACACAUCCACAAAAUAAAAAACAAUAAUAGUGUUUUUGUCAUUUCUACAUGCUAUCAAAUAUAAAUUUAUCAAAAUAUGUCUAAAUUCUUAAAUUUGAUUCAAUACGUCACGAAAAUACUGCCAAAAUAUUUCUCGUCACACCUCUUAUAAAUCUGCAAAUAAAAAUAAAAAAAAAUUAGCUUUUCAACAUUUGUUGAUCCCUAAAUUGAUGACGGAAAUAAUAUAAGAAUAAAAAGACCAAGUACAUAGAUAACAAUGUCGGCUAUGAAUAAUAUAACAGACAGAAACCAACAUUAAUUCAAUUCACGUAUCCAUGUAUAACUACAAUGGUUAAACAUGUCAGGCAAUAUGGCAUCAAUGAUUCCAGAAGGCAACAACAAAAAAAAUAAGCUUAUCAGGAUGUAGACAAUAUGCUUACCAGGAUGUAGACAUCUCGGCCCUGCAUAAAAAAUACAAGAACAAUUAUGAUAUAAAAAGACGAAAAGGGUUCAUUUCAAACGAUCAAAUAAUUGAGGGGUCCUCAGCAUUUUCAAUCUCCAUAUCAAUUAUGUAUUCUCCAGAGAAAAAAUAACUGUUCAUCUAUAAGCAUAACAUUUCUAAAUGUAACGAGGAAAAAGAAAUUCAUAGGAGGGCACAGAUGUCAAUCAAAAGGCAACAAAGAAAACAUUCCAAAGGCCAGCAAAUUCAACGACUAUAAUAUCAAUGCUUUUACUAGAAUAGAUGUCAGACAUCUUACGUUCAAAAUAACAUCCAGUUGUAAAGAUUACAAUUACAAUAUUAUUUUCACGGGCUUUAAAAACAAAAGCUAUCAUUCUUUGAGUAAAAUACAAACUUGCCAAAACUUCUAUUGGUACAUAUCAUAAUCACUAGCGACGCCAGAUCCAGAUCAUAAAUACAAUCAAAUCAAACUGUAGCAGAAGGUGGACAAGUGGGUAGUUUGGGUUGGGAACUAAAAAAGGGGGUUGGCUCAUGAUUCUAGUUUGAAGAAACUAGGUAGGAAAAGAUAAACAACAGAGUAAUAAGCUUAAGCACAAGGUAAACCUUUUAACAACCAUAGGAUUACACCUAUCACAAUAUCGACAACUGCAUAAAUGCACUGGGUUUCACCUAUCUCGAUAUUGACAACUGCAUUAAUGUUUGUAAACCAAAACUAAUGCACGAAGGGAUUGAAUGAGGCAGACAAGAUAAACAGUCAAUAAUUGCUGAACAUGGAAGUUCCAUUCAAAUAACUGUAAAACAGAAAUAAUUGCUGAACAUGGAAGUUCGAUAAUUGCUUAGUGCAGUAUAAAUCAACUUAGUCUACAAUGCAAACUCAACAUUAGAGGAAAGAACCGAUGAAAGUUCCGAUAGAUCAGCUACCUCAAUAGAACUGUCCGUGUCUGGAGAAGGAAGAGGAGGAAGAGGAGGAAGAAGAAGAAGGGUAAAUACGUCAAUUCACACUAUAAUUAACCAUGGUUAAGUAUUUUAACCGUGGUUAACGAAAAUUUUCUACCAGAUCUGGACGGCAGGGACAUAUCUGCAUAACUUAGGACUUUUGUAGAGACAACUUAUGGAGUUUCCGUUUUGCAGAAAUAUUUUCACAAUUCACUAUGUUUGUAGGGACGUGUAUACAAAUAACCCUAUUAUUAAUAGUAGUAAAAGGUAAAUAAACAAAAGUCCAUACUAUUUUAUCCAACAAUCACAAUUCAUAACAAGCUCCAAGUCCAACUAAAAGUUCACCUCGAAAGAAAUUUCAUUUUAAGGAAACACUUCAAUAACUGAUCGAAGUCCAAGCGUGGCAGCAAUCUUAUAAUCACUGAACCCCGCCUCAGUGAAUAUUUUGCACCAUUCCUGCUCAUCUCUCUCGCGUCCCCCGGUCAGGAUCAUCAUCCACACGUCGAAGAAGUGCUGCAUCUCCGUCGACUUCUCUUCCGGGCUCGACCCUAUCACCUGCUCCACGACGAUCACCUUCCCUCCGGCCUCUCUCGAUGGGAUCGCCUCCUUGCACUUCUGCAGUAUCCUCACGCAAACUUCAUCGUCCCAGUCAUGCAGAAUCCACUGUGAUCAUCAGUUUAUUUUGUGAAGUGCCAACAACUUAACUAUAUAUAGAGUGUUCUAAUUAACCAAAAUUGUAAAAUCCAAUAUAAACAUAUAUCCUAAGUAACCACCAUUUAGAGUAGCUAGUUGUUACUCUGAAGACUGUACUUAAAGUCGAUUAGGAGGCUCGAAAUUUCACUCAUGCGUAUCAAACAAAAGAGCUUUGAGUUCCCAACUUCUCGGAUUACAAGUAGUAUUAAUUUUGCAGUAGUUUGGUAGUGGAAAGAAAGCAGGAGCGGAAUUUUAUUUUGACCUUCAACAUCACAGCAUCCGCCGGAGGAACGCGCUCGACCAUGCUGCCCGCGACAAAGUCAACGGGCCCGUCGAUGGUUCCUAGGGGAACUGAGAACAACGGGCCCGUCGAUGGUUCUGAAACAAUCUGUUAAAAAUUGUUCUAAGGAAACUGAGAACAACUUUGUUCUUCUCUUUAUUUUACUAGAUAAAUAGAUAUAUAAAUAAAUAUAUUAAUAUAAAUAUUAUUUUUAUGAUAAUAUAUUUAUACUUAAAUUUUAUUAUAUAAUAUAAAUUAAUUAAAUUUGAUAUAUUAUUUAUUUUAUUAUGUUUUAUUAUUUAUAUAUUAAUAUUUAAUUAUUUUUUUAUAUUCAGUAUUAUAUAUAUAAUUAUUUUUUCAUGCAUUAUAUAUUUUUUAAAAUUUGUAUUGAAAUUUAUACUAUUAUUAAUUAAAAUUAUAAGAAUAUCUCUACAUAUAUUAUAAAUAAAUUAUAUAAAAUAAAUUGUUAUUAUAUAUAGUAAAAUAAAUAUACUAUUUUAAAUUAAAUUGUUACAUAAAAUAUUAUAUUAUAAAUUACUAUAAGAAAUAAUUUAUAAAUAAUUUUAUAUAAAAUAUACUAAUAUAAAUUAAUUAUUUUAUUUUUAAAAAAUAUUUAAACAUUGUUCUACACUUUUUAUCCAAACGCUAAUAAGGAUAUUCUCUAGAAUAUUUCCGAAUGCAUUCAAAUAUAAAUUUAUAAUUGUUCUUUCUCCAAAACUUAGUUCUCUAACCAAACGCACUCUUAGGAGUAUAUUAGAAAUAGAUUGGAACGUAAAAAAAAGUAUUUUCAAUAUUAGUCUUGUAAGAGGACUAAAUCAGAAAGUCAGAAAUUUUUCAGAAAUAUAUAGAUAAUUGCCGCUAAUUAAAAAUACAAUAGUUAUAAUUAUAUGCAUUUUAUUUGAUUUGAUAUAGUAGAAUAGUUAUAAUUAGAAAUAAUUUGUUUAGUUACAUACAAUUCAAAUAAUAAUGUUGGUUAACAGCAGCUUAUUCACCUUUAACAUCACGGCAUCCGCCGGAGGAACGCGCUCGAACAUGCUGCCCGCGAUAAAUUCCACGGGCCCGUCUGCCGGCAGUCCCUGGACCACCUGAGGCAGAUCGAGAACCACACACUUGACGUCCGGAAAUGCCUCUACUAUGGUGCGGGCGGCAGCGCCGGUCCCCCCACCGACGUCAACCAGUGACCGCAGCCCGCAAAAGACAUGCCCGCAUUUCCUGACGACCACGUCCAUUAUGAACCUCCCGUCCGCCGCCAUGCCCUCGUUGAACGCCGCGUUGAACUCCGGGUUCCGGCUCGUCAAGCCCCAGAUAUUGCUUCCGUACAGCGCCUCAAAUGGCGUCGCGAUGCCGUCGGCUUCUUUAAACCAGUCGCCUAAGCGCAGCGACGGCGCCAUCAUCACCGGGUCGAACAUCGAGCGCACAAACGGCGCGAGGCUGCGGCGGCCUCCGGCGUCGUCGACGAGCAGGCGGGACGUCGGCGUGAGGCCGUACAAAUCCUCCUCCUCCCCGCCGGCGGCGGCUUCCGACGUCUGCCUCGUGAAGAUGCAGGAGAAAGCGAGCAUGCGCAUGAGGCGGCGGAGCUGCGGAAGUCUGGCGGCUGGGAGGUUGAGCGCGGCGACGAGGUCGGGGACGGAGGUGGGGCCGCCGUGGCGGUGGAUGGCGUCGGGUAUGCCGAGCUCGACGGCGCACUUGAGCGACAUGGAUUUGAGGAAGACGAACAGGUGGUUCCAUAAGUCGGAUUGAGCCGCGAUGAGUAGAUCGUCGUCCCAGUACUGCUCCAUGAUUUGUUGCUCCAACAAUAUAUUCUACUCGUCGGUGUUUCUUAAUUAAAUAUAUAAGUAUGAAAUAUAGUUCUUUACCAUUUUUUUAUAUUAUUAGCUAGUGUGUAGCUGGGGAUAGAGGGGAGGAUAAGGGCUCCCUCAAACACCAAUUUAGGGAGUGCCCACCCGAAAAGAGUUAUGCAGGAUAAUUAUUGAUUACUGCAUUUCUGGAAUGACUAGGUAUAAUUUAAAGAGAAUCAAGAUAUUAUUUUUUAUACUUAAUUUACAACAACACUUACAAAUACUGUAAACAUUUUUUUGUUUCCAAUUUUUUUUCUUCAUUAUUGAAGAAAAAAUUGUGGUGUUGUCGGAAUCAUCUUUUUUGAAAGAUAUUUUUAUUGUGAUCACGUCCUCCGAAAACGUGCCUUUUGGGAUCAACAGAUGAGAAGAAUUCCAGUAAGAAAUUUAACAUAGAGUCAGAGAUUGUUACAAUACUAAACAGAUUUCAAAAAAUAAUUUUAACAUUGUUGGUUGUAUGGAACAUCCAGAUGAACACUAAUUAAAGAUAUUAUACUUAAAAAUUUUUAUUAUAAUGUAUAUAAAAAUAUUCUAAUGAAUAUUUUGACUGUAUUUUUUUAAUUAUAAUUUCUUCAAUCUUUAAUUCUUAAAAUUUUAUAUAAUAAUUAAUUAAAAUAAUAUUUAUUUGCAGCAAAACGCAAGUCUAAUACUAGUCCACUUUAAAGGGUGUAUAUGGUACGAUAGAAAAAGGAUCGAUUGUGCUGGCAAGGAUAAAGACAUGAAAAAAAAGAUCGUAGGAGAGCUCUGUAUCCAAUCCCUUCUCUUUGGGCCAUCUUUUCUUAUGCAUGCAUCGCGCGUUCAUCUUUCCUUUCUUCCAAGCAAGCCGCCUAUAGAAGGAUUAAUCUGCUGUGCUUUUUGGCUUUCGUUGAUUAUUAUACUGGAUAGUGAUGUUCCCGGGCAAGCCAUUAAUUAUUUAAUUAGUUACUCAAUUAUAAAAAUAAAUUAAUUAUUAAGUAAAUACUUAUUAAUUUAAUUAUUUAAUAAUUAAUUAGUUAAUUAUUUAAAAAUUUUAAUUAUAUUAAUUAAUAAUAUUUUAUAAUGAUUUAUAACUUAAUUAGUAUAGGAAUAAGAUAGAGGAUAAUUUAUUCUAUUUAAUAGGCGGAACUACUAUUUUUCUCUCUUAUCAGGUGAUUUCAAAAUAAUCCAUUAAGGCUGCGUUUGGUUACAAGAUUUAAUAGGAAUAACACAUUUUAUUCUUGCAAUUCUGCCAAACAUAAGUAAAAUUAGAAGGAAUAUUUAAUUCCAGUCAAAGCGAGUUAUUCUAGAUAAUUCUACAAUAAUCCGUUAACAACUAUUCAUCUCCAACAGUGGAAUAGCUGUGUCCUUCAAUUUAUACCCAAAGCAGUAAAUGCAAAAGGUGCCUCGUUGUUUGAGCUCACUUGCCCUACUCUAUACUCAGCCAAAUGCCUCUUUAGUUAAAACUUUUUACAAUUUUUUAUAUUAUUGUGUAUACAAUUUUUGGUCAGCUAUAUCUAAGGUAAAAAUAUUUUAUAAUUAAUUAUUAAAAUAUUUGAUUAGCUAUAUCUAAGGUAAAAAUAUUUUAUAAUUAAUUAUUAAAAUAUUUUAUAAAUAAUACGAAUAUUAAAAUAUUAAAUAUAAUUUUCUUUCACCAAAAUAUUUUAUUGCAUAUAUUAUAUUUUAUAUGAAGUAUUGUUCAUUUUAUUAAAUAUUACAUAUAAAAGAGGCACACACAAGGGCAAUAUUGACAUUUUAGAAAAAUUCAAUCUACUUUUACUAUUUUUCUCUAUUAUUCCUAAGCAAUUUUCCAAACAUAAAUUUUCUUAUUCUUCUGAAAAAGAGAAUUUCAUACCAAAUAUAAAAUUCAUUUUAUUCUUCUGUAUCCUAGAAUACACCUUAAAUCCAAGAAUAAAAAUAUUUAUACUUCUAAAUAUUAUUCCAUUACCAAACACAGCUAAGGAUAGUAAUUCUUAUUCUCUCUUUAUCUCUAGAACCUAACAUGACCUUGAUGAAUGCUUUAAAACUCGGGAACCGGUUCGUAUCAAAUAAGAUGUUGUAUCAUGGCUCAACUUAUUCAACGAAUAGUUUGAUUGAUCGGUCGAACCAGUGAUGUCAGCAUGAUAUCACAUACAAUAAGUUAUUAAUUUUUUGUGUAAAGUAAUAAAGUUAAAGAAGAUAAAUAAAUAUAAGGUAAGUUGCUCGUUUGGUUAUCAAACUUUGAGAUUGGUAACAUUUUGAUGGUCCUCAAAUUUUAAUUUGUUAUAAUUUAGUUUUGAAUUUUUAAAAAUAUUGCAAUCAAGUCUAUAAUCCAAUAUAGGUGAUUAAAUACUGUUGUAUUUCUAAUCUCUACAAAUUCUUGGAUGAGGAUUUAUAGAGAUAACCCUUUUUGGAUUUUUUUUGGGUAAACUUCAAAUACCACCCCUGUGGUAAAAUUGUCAAAAAUAUCCGAUAUACCAUAUCCGAUCCGGACCAAAAUCGGAUCCUAUCUGGACCUGAACCAGACCCGAUAAAAAAUGAAUAGUAUACGAAUAAAAAAAAUUAUCCAUUAACAUUUUGGAUAUGGGUCCAGAUAUGUUAUACUUAUAUCCGUUUUGGAUCCGAACGAACCCAACUUUUAAAUGGGUAAAGUCUGAAAUAGUUUUUAAAUCCGGACUCAAACCAGGACCCAUUGAAAUGUCCGAUAGUAAAUGAAAAAGAUUUGAAUUUUUGAGAGAUUAUUAGAAUGAGGGGUCUCUAAGUAUUUUCAUUAUAAUGAAACACUAAAACUUUAGCCGCUCUUUUACUCUAUUUUUUUUUCACUUUUUUUACUUUUUAUUUUUUUGUUCCAUUUCCGCCUAAGAGUUUUUUAUGAAACAAUAUUUUUAUCGUCGUCAUUAUCAGCGAUAUUACCUACCGGCGUGGCACGAGUUAGUUUUUUUCUAAAUUCCUUCUCCAAUUAAUCACAGUCGGCAACCUAGUUUUUUUAAUGAAUAUUCUAUUUAGUAAUAAUUUUCUAAUUUCCCUUUUUUUUUGAAUGUUAGUGUAUAAUAUUAGUAAUUACUACGACUUAUAUUCUAUUUAUAAAUAAUAUAGUAUCAUAAUUUUUUUAUUUUUGUGUGUUUACAUAUGAAAUUGUUUUCAAUUUUAGGCUUUUAAUCAAUUAAUGUAAUGGCUGAAACACGUUCUGUCCGUACUUGGUCUUGAAUGGAUAGUAUAUGAGUAAUCACUAUUCAGACCCGUUCAAAUAGAUCCGAUGGGUAUAUUAGUAACUUAAGUACCUAGGUCCUGACCCGACCCGAAGUUAAAUGGGUAGAUUUUUUUUUUCUGACCAUUUCUUUUUAGGGUACGGAUAUAGUAUAUCAACUAUCUAGAUUUGACCCGAUCAACAGACAUCUUUACCCUGUGGUUUCGCACUUUCUCACUUUAGUACCAUGUGAUUUAAAAUGUAUCAAUUUAGUAUCUUAUAAUUUCUUUCUUUUUUUUCGUCAGCUCUUUUAACAUUUCUUUAAAUUAUAUACAAAAAACUUCAGCUACCCACUUAAAUUUAUCGAAUAUUCACUUUAGUAUCUUUUAGUUUUAAUUUUGUCACUAUUUAAUGAAAAAAAUUAGUGAAAAGAAUAAUAAAAAAAGAGAAAUAAAAUUAUGAGAUAUUAAAUUGAUAUAUUUUACAUCAUAGGAUACCAAAAUUAAAAAAAAGGGAAAUCAGAGGAGUGGUAUUUGAAGUUUUCUUUUUUUUUCUUUUUUUUUUUACGUGACCUGUAGCUAGGUUUGGCCCUAGAUAAGAGACCUCCGAAUUACACCCCAUGGUACACACUAGCUAAGUGUAACCUCUUUUGGCUAAAAAUAUUAUUUUUAUAUUAUAAAAAUUUAAAACUAAUUAAAAAAAUAUUUUUUUUUCUUAUUUUUUACUAUAAAAUUGAAGCUGCAUUUGCAAGCAUAAUUAAAAUUGGUAAGAAAUAAUUGUAAAUACUUUAAAAUUUUUAAAAUAUUUUAUAACAUAAGAAUAAUAUUUUUAACCAAUUUAUUAUCAAACAAGAUCUUUGUCUUCUCUUUUGAAAACAUUCUACUUGUACAUUUCAAAAGAGACGUAAAUUUUACACCCUUCCGUCUUUAAGUUCAUAAGAAUUUAAAUAAUUUAAAAUAAAAAUAAAUAAAAAUUAAUGUAAAAUUAAUAUGAUAAAUAAUCGCCGGUAGUUGUUGAAUAAAAAGAGCGUCAAAUAUACAACUCACUUUGAAAUAUAAUACAAUAGCAUUGCUCCUCUUGCUUGUAGUUGAGUCUUGCUUGUAGUUUAGUUUUUGUUUGUUUCUUAAUUUAUGCUGUUUUUUGUUUUCUUCUUCUAUUUCGUUGUCUAUAUCCGAAAACAAAAGUGUCGUGGAUUACAAGUUGACAAUCAUGUUUGUGCACAGUUUUGAGUGGAUAGAGCAAAUGGCAAAAAAAAGGUUAAUGCUUUGGGGCCAAAGUAAGGAUUAGAAUCUUUAUGCACCUUUCAUGCAUUUUCAUAUUUAUAUAAGUUUAAAAAUUUAUGGUAAAAAUAUAUAAAAAAAUUAGACGAUCUGAUGAAUCGUAUUCAUAUGAAAAAUGUUAAAUUUUCUUUUUAUAGAUAAAACUAUAUAAAACCAAUAAUAUUCGUUUUUUUCUCGUAAAUUUUGUAGUAUGAACAUAUAAUUAUAUAUACCGACCGUUCCUAGAGCAAGUGGCAAAGAACUUGGUGGUUGGUAUCCGAGAUCCCAAGUUCGAAUCCUAGUUGAUUUAUAUUUCCAGCUAAAUUUAUUUCUAAAUGAAAUAAACGAAGCGGAUAGCGUGCUACCUAUCUCUCAAAAAAAAAAACAUAUAAUUAUAUAUGCACCCUAGAUAUUCAUUCUUAAUCUUUUUCUUUUCUUAAUUGAAAGCCCUUGAUUACAAACUUUUAAAUUAAAUUAUUCUAGUUAUUUCAGAUAUAUUAUUUUAUUUAGGGUGAGAAAACAAUUUUUGUUAAUCAUUUAUGUAUCAGAUAUAAGCGCUACUAGCCAAGUAAGCAAGAUAUGAUUGGUAUACAGAUUAAUUGAUCAAUUUAUUGGUACAGCAAAUAUUAUUCUAUUUUGUGUAAUAAAACAAAUUACAAAGUAUUUUUAAAGUACAGCUGUCCACUUCUGGGCAAGUGGAUAAGGAGGAAUUCUACACUGUCACAUUUGUACUACGUCAUCAAUAACAAGUCAAUCACAUUUUUUUUUUUCAAAUAAAAGUACAAUAAAAAUAUUUUUUGACAAUCAUGAUGGGACAUAUUCAUAAAAGGAGAUAUUUAAUUGGUUUGUUACGCCACGUUACCAAUAUACGCGUUACAUUCUAAAAUUUUUCGUGGAUAAGGGACUUUGGAUUCGGUACUAGCGGCGUACCCGCGCUUUGCUGCGGGUACGAUGGAUAUAUUUUUAAUUAUAUUUAUAAAAUAUAGUAUAUAUUUUUGUUAAAUAUAUAUAGUAAAUAUAUAUUUAUAUCAACAUUUGAUUUCAAAAUAUAAAAUUUUCUGAAGCAAAAAAAAAGUAAGUUUAUAAUAUGCUUAUUUUUUUAGGCCAGUUCGCCUAAAAGAUACAAAUCCUGUUUUUAUAUUUUGUGGCUUUUUAUUCUUCUAACUCUAUUUAGAUCAUUUUUGUUGAUUAAUAUAAGCAAUGUCAAGAAUUGAAAAUAUUAUGAUAAAAUAAAAGGUAGUUAUUUGAUUCAUAAUUUUUUAAUUGAUUGAUUUUAUGAUAUUUUUCUAGAAUUUAUAAAAAUAUAUUUAAUUUUGUAAAAAAUUCCUAACUUUCGAAAAAUUGAGUACCAAAUAGUUCUCAAAAGUCUAUAAACGUUGGAGAAAUUAAAUAUAAUGUUUUCAAAAUUAAGACGUACAAUACAUAAUUGAAAAAAGUGGGGGGUUCUCUAAUUGGUUUAAUAGUUGAUAGGCAAUAAAGCUAUUAAAUCUAACAAAAUUUUAAACCAAUUUAGAAUAUAUAUUUUAUCAACAAAAAAAAAGAACAUAUACAGUUAUGUUCAAAUACCCUUAAAAUCAUAUCUUUCAAAUGCAAAAUUAAAAACUCAAUGCGUUAGUAGUAAUGGAGGAAGAUAUGGUGGUUGACCUCGACAAAUCGGGCUGGAGCCUCAUCUCAGCAUCUUCAUUGGCUGCGGCAACGACGAUGGCUUCGAAAGAAGUGCAGCAGUGCGCUACAGCGUGGCGCUAUUGCUGCGAUUCACUUCGCUUUGGACUCUUCGAAGUUGCAGUUGAUUGGAUUGACACCUAUAAAAAUCUAAAUCGGAGGUGUCGAUGUAUCAGGUCGACAAAGAGCGAAAAAAGGAGAGGUGCCAGUUGCUAGGAUGUGGCGUGGGGAAAGGGUGUCAAUCAAAGUGAUGGCCAGAGAGGUAAGAAAGUAGAAGGGGACAAUAUUGCCUGAACCUGACAUAUGUCACAUAUCCCUCCACACAUGCAUUAUAUUUAAAAUUUUUGUAACCAAUCUAUAAUACAUUGGGUCCAAGUAAUAUUUAAAUAUUUAAACGCAUACAUGUGUCAACAAAAAAAACCACCUCCAUAGGCUCUAGUAUAUAGUAAUAGAUGGUAUAGGGGCUUAGGGGUUUGGAGCCUAUAAGCAUGCUAAAAAAAUCAAAAAAAAAAGGAAAAAAAAGAUGGUGCAUAGCAAACCCUCUGCCAUAAAUUAAAAAAAAAAGAUUUUUUGCUUAUUUAUUCUUAAUAGUAUUCAAAGAUUUUAAACUUAUUCUAAAAUUAUCAAAGAUAUUUUUCUAAAACUAAAUCCUACUAGUAAAUCCGGAAAAAAAAAAAAACAAGAAUAUUUGAAGGAAGAGAGUGGGUGAGAGGUCCACAAGGAUUCUGUGCUUGCGGCAUUGCGGUGAGCUGCAUAAUUUGUUUCUUGAGUUUUCAUUUUCCGACGAAAAUCGGCAAAAAAUGAAAAUACCUUUCCUUCUAAAAAAAUAAGUUUUUGAAAAAAAAUUUACGUCUCAAUUAACAAUAAAAUUAAAAAUAAUAUUUUAAACCAAAAAAUAAUUUUUUGUAUAUUUUAGAACAAUCCAAACAUAGCCUAAAGUUCUAAUUUUUAGGCUAAUAUGACCUUAUAUGAAUAAUGUUUGUUGGCUUAAAUGGGCCAGUAUCCUGCCCUGUGGCGAGAGGUCAUGUGGGUCUAGUCAUGUUCGAAAUGGCAUGAGGCUGGGUUGGGCCGAGUCAUGUUCGAAGUGGCGUGAGGUUAGGUUGGCCGAGUCACAAUCGAGACCCGUGGGCACUGUUUCUGUACGCUUUAAGUGAAUUGGUUGUGUAUUUCUAACAGCUCGAGCUUUUGGGAUUAAUGGUUAGCGCCAACGAUCCGACAAUGUUAAGGCCACGAAGACCCAUAAGACUUUCACGUUAGACAUAGAAAUGAAAAAACAAAAAAAGGGUUUUUUUUGCAUUUAGCCCCCUAACAAAUUUUUAUUUUAAAAAUAACCCUGUCAAAAUUUAAUUUACAAAAAUGACACUGAACCUGCCACGCAGGCGCCACGUCAGCCCCACGCGGGCGGGGCCAGGGCCAAUGUAUUAAGUUAAAUACGGUGAACCAUUCACCGUGUUUAGACACGGUGAAUGGUUCACCGUGUUUAACUUAACACAUUGGCCCUGGUCCCGUCCGCAUGGCGCUGACGUGGCGCCUGCGUGGCAAACGCACGGCCAUUUUUGGAAAUUAAAUUUUAAGAAGACUAUUUUUAAAAUAAAAAUUUGCCGGAAGGCUAUACGCAAAAAAAGUUCCAAAAAAAACACACACACACAUACAAAAGGAGGCCACAGCUAUUAAUUUUUGUAUUUUUUCACAAGGUGAAACUCAAAGAAGUCUUAUCCACUCAACAAUCACAUUCAGGUGACACUCAAAAACAUCUUAUUAUUCUUUAACCCCUAUUAUUAUUAAGGGUUAUUUGUAUACACGUUCCUGCAAAUAUAGUGAAUUGCGAAAAUAUUCCUGCAAAACGGAAACUCCAUAAGUUGUCUCUGCAAAAGUCCGAAGUUAUGCAGAUAUGUCCCUUCGGUUAACAUCCGUUAGUGAUCUAUUUAUUUUUUAACAGUGGAUUCGUGAAAUGACCAUUUUACCCUCACAAAUAUAUCCUCAAAAAUGUUUUCCUCUUCCCUUCUCUUUCCUCUUCUUCCUCUUCCGGACCGUCAAAGCGGACGCGAGUGGUGCUGCUUGUGCCACGCGACGGCGGCGCGGGGACAUCGGGUUUCGCCGGCGACGAAGAAGAGGGAAGAACGCCGGGGGCACGGAGCCUACUACCGAGAGCUCGUCUCCCUCAACGCCGUCCCCUCCCUUACUCGUCGGCUCUCCUCGGCCCCACGACAUCGCCGACAUCCAGUGUCAACAUCGUCUCCCUCCUCACCGACACUCUACCGACGCCGGGACGUCGCUCGGCGACCACGGACGACCCCGCGCACGCCCUCGUCCCAGCCUCGUCGAAAACAACGCCCUCGAGCUUUCCGUCCAGAAACUCACAACGCCUUUCCGAGGCGACCCCCGACGGAGGUUCUUCUCCCUCGCUGGUGACGAAGAAGAUGGAAGAGAAGAGGAAGAAGGAAGAAAAGAAAAAGGGAAAAGCAGGAAGAGGGAAGAGGAAAAGUAGAGGGUUCGCCACCGUCGCCGCCGUCUGCUUGCGGAUCGUCAUCUCCUCGCCGCGACGAAGAGAAGGAAGAGCGAAGAGCCGAGGAAGAGGAAGAAAGUAAAUAUCGUCAAUUCACACUAUAAUUAACCAUGGUUAAGUAUUUUAACCGUGGUUAACGAAAAUUUUUUAACAGAUCUGGACGGCAGGGACAUAUCUGCAUAACUUAGGACUUUUGUAGGAACAACUUAUAGAGUUUCCGUUUGCAGAAAUAUUUUCGUAAUUCACUAUAUUUGCAGGAACGUGUAUGCAAAUAACUUUAUUAUUAAUAGUAGUAAAAGGUAAAUAAACAAAAGUCCAUACUAUUUUAUCCAACAAUCACAAUUCAUAACAAGCUCCAAGUCCAACUAAAAGUUCACCUCGAAAGAAAUUUCAUUUUAAGGAAACACUUCAAUAACUGAUCGAAGUCCAAGCGUGGCAGCAAUCUUAUAAUCACUGAACCCCGCCUCAGUGAAUAUUUUGCACCAUUCCUGCUCAUCUCUCUCGCGUCCCCCGGUCAGGAUCAUCAUCCACACGUCGAAGAAGUGCUGCAUCUCCGUCGACUUCUCUUCCGGGGUCGACCCUGUCACCUGCUCCACGACGAUCACCUUCCCUCCGGCCUCUCUCGAUGGGAUCGCCUCCUUGCACUUCUGCAGUAUCCUCACGCAAACCUCAUCGUCCCAGUCAUGCAGAAUCCACUGUGAUCAUCAGUUUAUUUUGUGAAGUGCCAACAACUUAACUAUAUAUAGAGUGUUCUAAUUAACCAAAAUUGUAAAAUCCAAUAUAAACAUAUAUCCUAAGUAACCACCAUUUUUAGAGUAGCUAAUUCUUACUCCGAAGACUACACUUAAAGUCGAUUAGGAGGCUCGAAAUUUCACUCAUGCGUAUCAAACAAAAGAGCUUUGAGUUCCCAACUUCUCGGAUUACAAGUAGUAUUAAUUUUGCAGUAGUUUGGUAGUGGAAAGAAAGCAGGAGCGGAAUUUUAUUUUGACCUUCAACAUCACAGCAUCCGCCGGAGGAACGCGCUCGACCAUGCUGCCCGCGACAAAGUCAACGGGCCCGUCCAGCUGUGCAAGCCCUGGACGCACCUGAGCAGAUCAAGACUGACACAUUGACGUGGGCGGAAAUGCUCCGCGCGACUACGCGGGCGGCAAGCGCCGGUCCCCCCGGACCGUCCGACCUAGUCGACCGCGCAGCCCGCGGAAACAUCGCGGCGAUUAUUCUGACGAACUCACGAUUCCAUUAGAACCUCCAGCCGUCGCGCAUCACCCAUCGUUGGAACACCGCUACAGGCGGCGUUGAAAACUCCGGUUUGCCGUCAAGACGCCCCCAGCAUAACGCUCCGUGUACCAGGGCCGUCGCACCGGGGCGUCGACGCGCCGUCAGCUGCUUAAAAGUCCCUCGUGCAGGCACGCGGCGUGUGCACCUGGGGAUUCGAGCAUGACGGCACGAACGGCCGAGACUAGCGGCGGCCACCGCGUCGUCGCGGAGCAGGCCGGGAUUCGCGUGAGGCCGUACAAUGCGCUCCCCGGUCAGGCGGCUAAUCCGAACCCAUCUGCCUCGUGCAAGAGCGCGCGGAGAAAGCAGCGUGCGAGCGCCUUCCACACCUCUCUUCAACAAUCUCUCAUCUAGACCCCCCUCCCUCUCCCGAAGCGCUCGCCAGUCGCAGCCGCCCCUGCCGCUGUCACCCCCGCUGCCACUACAACAGAAUUAGGUUAUAGAGACACAUGUUUGAAACACUUUUGUGUAAGUGUCCAAUUUAUGCCAAAACUUAAAAAAAAAAUCUACUAAUGCCUAAAUAUAAAGUCCAAUCCAACAAAAAAUAAAAGGUUACUCUAUUCAACCCACUCCACCCAGCCCAUUCGGCCCGAUUACAAACAGAAACGAAAAAAAAAAGAAAAAUCGAUUACCAUUUCCCCUUCUCCUCUCACUCAAUCGACUGAAAUCCUAGACGAAGAUCCCUUCCUCUCAUCCUCCUCCCCCACCGCAGCCAACGAGGUAGAGUUCUGGCGACUGCUAAAUGCUUAAAUAAAUAUUGGUAAAUUAGCAGCACUUUUUUAGGUUAUAAUGACACUCUUUAACUGUCACUAUAUACCUAGCGUCCCCAUAUAUAGCAACACUUUUUAAAAGUAUCGGUAAUUUAGCCAGCAGCACUUUUUUUUACCUGUACCGACAUUUAAAAGUAUCGCUAUAGACCGUUUUUGUUGUAGUCGCCGCUCGUCGUCGCCCCUGCCAAGCCCGCUGCCUCAUUAUAGAGCCUACAUUGUGCUCUCUUCCCUUCCACUAAUUGUGCUUUUCGUUGUCGACGUGUACCGACCUCGCCCUCGCUAACGUGCAAGUAGUUCCUGAACUCUUCUUUUACUUUCUUUGCUGUUUGUUGGCAUUGUUGGCAUUGUGGACACAUCACAUGGCAAUAAGCUAAAAAUAUAAAAAUUAGGCUUUAAAAUUGGGACAUAUUUUACCAAUUGUUAAGCCAUUAGCCAUCAAGUGCGAGAUAUGUUGAGUACAUUGGGAGGGUUUAGUUGGAAAAUAGAUAAGACCCAGAUAAGCUGACAUGUUAUUCCGAUAAUGAAGAUUUGAAUCAUAGUAAUUAUCUUGAGAUUUUGCUUUAUGUUUAGUCAGAGAUUAUGAUAAGACGAUAUCAAACGAUGUCUUAAUUUCUGGUUUUUAAUAUGCCAACUCUUUUCUUCUCUUGGGAGUAGUAGUAAUCAUGUUCAGAUGCAACUUUUUGGUAAAUAUGAGCUCUUUUCUGUCAAAAGUCCUAAUGAAUUGAAACUUAAAAUGUAGAAAAGUUUAUCUGCCGUUCAGCAAUCAAUUGGCGAAGAAUGCAACAAACUUUCCCAAUAAUCUUUAUUGGAUUAUUCUGUGGGAUAGGGAAGCCUCCAUAUAGUCUCUUUCUUUUUUCAUUUAUUAUUUUUUUGUAUUAUAUUUACUAAAUAUUUUGAAAGGAGAUUUGAAAGUUUUUCUAUAUAGUUAAAAUGGUUAGUCGUCGAAUGUCUUUAGUGUUCAUUGGGAUGGACAAUUUGUUACAGAUGGAAAUGGUCCUCAAUAUGUCGGCGGUUGAAAGAAAUUGAUCGCAAUUUAUUCAGAUACGACAUUUACUAAUUUUGAGACGAGAAUAUAUUGUUUAGCAAAUUGUAGUAGAAAAGGAUUUCGUCUCAAAUUCACAAUUUGAUACCCUACGGGAGCAAAUUAAUAUAUAGCUCUCGAAAUAGUAGAUGAUAGAUCAUUGGAGGAAAUGAUUGGAUUGGUUGAACAUUAUGGAUGUGUGUCGGUAUAUAUCGAAAAAGAUUUAUAUCCGUCGAAAACACAAUAUCAAUCUUAAAACUAUUACACAAGACUACUUCAUAAUGAUAUCGAUGUGAUGUUUUUUCGGACAAUCCAAUUGGUGACUGUAAAGUUGGCAAAGAAACAGGCGUCAGAAUGACAAGGUAAGUGAAAUCUCUAGAUUUCAAUGAAUGUUUUCUUUAAUUAUUAAAUACUUUGAUAAUACUAAAUUAUAAAUACUGCAGAUAAAGUCAGUCUCCACAUGCGCAACCCUCAACAUCACAUGUGCAAUCCUCGACCUCACGUGUGCAACGCAUGACCUCACGUGGACAAACCAUGACCUCUUAUGUGGAACCCACGAUAUUCCAUACACUACCGACGAUCUCUUGUGCAGAACCUAUCAUGUCUCAUAUACAAUUGAAACCUUAUGAUUCGGGGUAAAGAAAAUUUUGAUUUUUUUUUUAUUAAUAGCAUGUGAAAAUGUACAUAAUAUAGUAAAGUUUCGGAACCCAUUGCAGGCUAUCUAUGUGCUAUGAACAUUGGAAUAAAGUUCCUACUAAUAUUGUCCAUGAAGGAGGUGAUAAUGAUAGUAAUCAAAAGGAUGCACUCAUUCAUUAUGAUGAUCAUUAUAACAGUAAGGACAACGAUUGGAAUGAUGUAGCUGCAAACAUUGAUGAUGAUCAUGAUGGUGGGUUAAAUUGUCUUGCGAAUGUAAUUUACACUGAAAACGACGACUCACAUGUAAACAACGAAUAUAUAGACAAUCCUGACGAGAAACUUGAUUGUAUUGACCAUCCGGAGCACUUUCCUGUAGAUAACAAUUGGAUAAAUCAAUAUGUUGUGGCUUUGGCUGAGUUCGAUGUUAAACAGACCAAUACCGGUCUACCUAGUAUUGACGGGACUUGGGUUCAUCGAAGCUUUUACGAUAAGGCAUCUUUAGUGGAUGCUCUAGAUCAAUGGCACAUUGCUCAUAAUGUUCAUAUGAAGAUUUUGAAAUCCACAAAACCGUCUUGUACGGUAAAAUACAUGAUUCAAGGAUGUCCUUGGAGAUUACAGCUUCAGUUCCUACAGAUGCAACAUACUUCAGAGUUAAGACAUAUACAGGUCAACACACAUGUGUAAUUCCAAUGCUAAAUGCAGACAUAUGCAGAUCAACACACAUGUGUAAUUCCAAUGCUAAAUGCAUCGCCACUGUAAUUGUACUUCAAGUUUCAUAUGUCAAGAGAUUCUCUCAAUAACGAAGGCAAGACUUAAUAUAACGCUAAAAGAAAUACAGAAAAUGGUGUGAUCCACUUUGCAUGUUGACAUAAACUAUUGGAAGGUAUAGCUAGCAAGGAGCAAAGUAUUACAGAUUAUUUAUGGGAGCUAGGAGCAAUUAUACACAGACUUGCCUCGUUAUCUUACUAUGGUACAGAGAAGUAAUCCUGGUAUUUUAUGGUGCCUUGAUCAUAGAUGACCAUCAGAUAGAAUAUGUCAGUUUGGUCAUAUUUUUUGGUCAUUUGGUCAUUCUAUUUAUAGAUUUGCAUACUGUCAGGCGGUAGUGAGCAUUGAUGGCACUCACUUGUAUGACAAAUAUGAAAGCCAUACAUUGAUAGCGACAGCUAUAGAUGCAAAUGAUAGUAUUUACCCUUUAGCAUUUGCAAUUUGCGAAUAGCAAAAUAGUGAAAGUUGGCGUUGGUUUUUACAGAACUUGCAUCAAUAUGUUACACCCGAUAAGUUUGCUUUAUAUUUGAUUGAUUUAGUGGUUUAAAGAAAAUAGUGGCUGAGAUAUAUCCUCCUCGACAGGGGCAUGCACACCGAUGGUGUCUUCGACACAUGAAAGUAAUUAUGAAUAAGCAUUUUAAAAUGAUUCUAUGCUAUUGGUAGUGCUCCAACAUCAAUAGAAUAUUAUAAGCUUGAAGAAAAGUUACUUGCGUUGGAUCAGGAUGCUUAGAAGUGGAUGGAUGAUCUCGAAGAAUACAAAGAGUAUUGGGCAUGGGCAUUUGAUGGAGGACGACACUUUGGAUUGAUGACAACGAUUAUUUCAGAAAGUUUAAAUGGGGUACUUAUGGUAAUUCAUGCUCUGCCUAUCACAGCUUCUGUCCCGUGAAUAUUUUAUAAACUUAAUAAUUAUUUCUUACAGGGUCGUGAAGAUGGUGACAGUAUGACUGGCACGUUAACUUCUAAAAUACGAAGUCGAAUUAUAAUGAAUAUUGAGACGGCACGGAGACACAUUGUCCAUCAAUUUGGGCUUGUGGAAUUUGAGAUUAAUACUGGAGAUUUCAAAUACAAGGUUUUCCUUAAUGGAACAUGUGUGGAUUGUGAUUGCGGCGAAUUGCAACUAACUAGAAUACUUUGCUCGCAUCUUUUAGUAGUUUGCAGUACUUCACAGAGAAUAAUAGACUUUCAUAAUUUUUGUUCUCGUUGGUAUGGUGUUGAUUGUUAUCGCGAGAGAUACGCACCACAUUUCUAUCCUGUUUCAAAUACACGACACUGGCCCUGGCCCCAGGACUCACCAAUUUUACCGCUUCCCAUGAGAAUGAAGAAAGGUCACCCACGAUCUGCACGUAUUCAUAACAUAAUGGACGAAAGAGAAGGACGACGAACAAAAUAUAGCCUUUGUAAACAAAAAGGCCAUUAUAAGAAUACCUGUCCACAAAAUACACAGAGAGCAUAACAAAGACGUCGACGUAGGACUUAUUACCUAAUAUAAUAACAAUUGCAAAACUUUCAAUAUUUAAUGAGUAUUUUUUAAAUAUUUUAUUAAUUGUAAAAUCUUUAAAAUUAUAGACGGCAAAUCUAGAGGAUGCGGGACCAGUUGAUUCGUUGGUCCCGACAGAGCAGCAUCUCCAUAGGUCUGGAUUUAUUAAGAGUGAGGUGAGAGUAAAAAUUUUAAGUAAAAAUUUAUCAUACUAUUAAUAAAUAGAAAUGAUGAUUUAACUAUUUUUUAACUUUAGGGGUAUCGUGCUAUUCACUGGCCGCAAGUUAAACCAGUGGGAUCUUGACCAUCUAGCAGUACGCGAUAUUGUACUAUAGACCAGAUUCUACUACAUAUCACACCUUAGGCGCUUGCAGCUGGAUCAGGCUUUAUUAGAAGCUACAGUUGAGAGAUGGAGACGGGAGACACAAACUUUUCACUUCCAUCAUGGUGAGAUGAUGAUUACAUUUUAGGAUGUCGCGGUUAUUUUUGAUCUUUGUGUGGAUGGUGAGCCCGUGACUAGUACUAUACAGCACCAGUGGUCAGAUAUUUGUUAGGCGCUUCUAGGAGCUAUGCCGAAUGACAUCAAAGCUGGUCAGAUUAGACUGGAUUGGUUAUACCAGCAUUACCACCACAUACAUUUGGAUGCCUCUGUACGAGUAGUUGCAACUAUAGCACACGCCUACAUGUUAUAUCAAAUUGGGUAUAGUCUGUUUCCCAACCCUACUGGAUAUAGAGUUCAUCUAUAGCUUCCACUUUUAGAGGAUUUUGAUGAGUGUGGCGGAUUAGCAUAGGGGUUCAUCGAGAUUUCGCCGAAUUUUUUGUACUUCGACUUGCUUGCCUAGCCCUCCUGGCUAUCUGGUCAAGUCUUCUUGGAUCUUUUCAUAGACUUUCCUCGCUCUCUUUUCAUCAAGGUCACAACCACCUGUUAUCGUGUGUUGUGCGGAGGCCAACUUCUUCAAAGCGAUUUCUUCGCUUUGGUUUCACUUGAACAUCACCUUCGUCGAUUUGCCACUUGACUUUGACAUAACUAUCUGGUACAUUAAUUCUAUAUUCUUUUCAAAUCUGCAGUCGUCUGGUUUUAUUUUCGGCUCUAAUAACAAUUGUUGGAAGCGUGAUUUGUUUUAAUACCAAUUGUUGGAACUGCUAUUUGUGCUGAUACCGAUUAUAUAAUCCAAAAUUUAAAAUAGAAGAAAAUAAUAUUGAGAAAAGAUAUUGGAGGAGAAAGAAAAAAACUAAAGUAAUACUAUAUUAAUAAAAAGUAAUUAAUGACAUCCUUGGCAACACCCAUUCAACCAUAUCUACUGUGGCUUCUUCAUCUAAUUAACCCAUACCUAAUUAUAUAUAGCCAUCAAAUCAUAACAGAUGAUAAAUCUAACUUUUACUUUGGAUAACUAAUAUCCUACUCUAAUUAUAUAAACUUUUAAAUAUAAUAAAUGAGAAUUUGGAUAAACUCUAUUUCUAACUAAAUUUUAAAUUAAGUUUGGAUUAUUAUUUCCAAUGUCAACAAACUAAUUUGAAUUAUAUAUUUUACCUAUAUUGAUUUUUUUUUUUAUGAUACUGCUUCCUUCCAUGGCUCCUUCAACUUCAACUUAAAUAGUGACAACUUUUCUAAUAAAGUGUAAUUAUGUAGUAUAUGGUUAAUUAUUAAACAUGUAACGUUUUUAUUAUUUUUUAACUGUUAAAUUUAAUUAGGUAUUGGCUAUCUAUAUAUCUGUAUAAAUUUAUAAAUUUUCAUGUCCUUAAGCUGAUGUGGCCCAACCCCUUUAAGGCUUAGUUUGGUAUUUAGGUCCAUCUAAUGCUAUCUAUCUAUUACUAUAUACUAAAGUAGAACCCCUAAUGAACCCUAUGUGAGAAGCUGACACGUGGCGCUCUAUAUGCUUGCCACGUGUCAAGCUUAAAUAUAGAUUUUCUACUUUAGAAAAAAUAAAAUUAGACUUUUUAAGUAAAUAAUAUCUUUUACUAUAUAAAAAAUCACCUAUAAUGAAAGAAAUUUUAUUUAAAAGUCACCUAUAAUUAUGUUGUGCGGAUAUUACUACUUUAGGAAAUCUAUUCUAUUUGGUAAGUGGAUUAAUGAAAUAUUUGAAAAAUUCACGGAUAUUACGUUGCGAAAAAAUUGGCGUGUACGGAUACUACGCAUGAGAAGAAAAAUAUUUAUCUUUAUUUGAGAAUAAAUUAUUACUUAAUUAAUUAUUUGAAAUUAUUGGUUGAAAAGUAGUGGGCAUAAAAAUAUUAGUAAGAAAGGAUAGAAACAUUUUUUCUAACGUGGCUUUCUAUAUGAUUUCCACAUGUCAUCGUAUCUAUUCUAUUUACUAUAUUAUUAAAUUUAAAUGGUAUGUAGAUUAAUGAGAUAUUUGAAAAAUUCACGGAUAUUACGUUGCGAAAAAAUUGGCGGUAUUACGCGUAAGAAGAAAAAUAUUUGAGAAACGCGUAGAUAGAAAAUAGGAUAUAAAUACGAGGAUAAUAUUGUCACAAAAAAAUAUAUAUUUUUAUUUUCAAUCAUUAGAUAAGAUCUAAUGACAAAAAAUUAAUAUCUUUUACUAUAUUAUUAAAAAUCACCUAUAAUGAAAGAGAUUUUAUUUCAAAGUCACCUAUAAUUAUGUUGAUGGGAUAUUUGAGAAAUUCACGGAUAUUACGUUGCGAAAGAAUUGGUGAGUGCAGAUAUUACGCGUAAGAAGAAAAAUAUUUAUCUUUAUUUGGGAAUAAAUUACUACUUAGUUAAUUAUUUGAAAUGAUUGGUUGAAAAUUUCUGGACAUAAAAAUAUUAGUAAAAAAAGGAUAGAGACAAUUUUAUAAAGAGAAAAAAAAUUCAAAACUCACGCUUUUAUAAAAAAUUAAUAUCUUUUACUACAUUAUUAAAAAUUACCUACAAUGAAGGAAAUUUUAUUUUAAAGUCACCUAUAAUUAUGUUGAGAUAUUUGAGAAAUUUACGGAUAUUAAGUUGCGAAAGAAUUGGCGGGUGCGGAUAUUACGCAUGAGAAGAAAAAUAUUUAUCUUUAUUUAGGAAUAAAUUAUUACUUAGUUAAUUAUUUGAAAUGAUUGGUUGAAAAUUUCUGGACAUAAAAAUAUUAGUAAAAAAGGAUAGAGGCAUUUUUGGAAAGAGGAAAAAAUUUAAAACUCACGUCACUCCUGUAAUUUUCUUAGCUCUUAAAUGUUAAUGUUUUAAAAUAGAACAUAUUAUUUCCCUACUGUCACUUCUGUAAUUUUCAUUUCGUAAUUUUUUUUUCCCUACUGUCACUCCUGUAACUUUCCAUCUUCAUGCAACAAAAUUUUUUUUCUUUAUAUUAUCUUAAAUACCAACAUCUAUAUAUUUUUGAAUCUUAAAAGUGAUAGUAGAGAAAUAAUAUACGUGUGCUUACUCUAAUUUGUGUCAAAUAUGAAAGUUUAGUUAAUCUCAUUAUAUACUUAAAUAUUAAUGUCAUUUGUAAUUUUUCAUAUCAAUUUUAGUUAUCAUUUUAUUUUGCACACCAAUAUGUAAACGAAAAUUAUUUUGCACACCAAUUCAUAGAUAACAGAGCAGGAUUGAAUUUUGCAUUUUAGUUGGAUAUUUACUUUGGUCCAAUUUUUUUUUUUCUCUAGCUUGUGUAUUUUAAUAUGUACUAUAAUUAAGAUUGAUAGUAUAUUUUUUAUUUAUUAAAAAAAUAAAAUUAAUUAAAAAAUCUUUUUAUUAUCAUCACAUAAUAAUUUUUAUUAUUCUAUAUUAUUAUAUUAGCCGUGCAUCGCACGGGUAAAAAUCUAGUUAGAUAAAAUGGAGGUAGGAAAAAGCAUAUAGGGAUAUGCUUCUGCGUUUUUCAGUGGGAACGUAGAAAAUAUAUCAUAACCGACUCAUCAUAAUAUGCGGAAUGCAAUAUUAUGUACGGAAACAAACAGGGUAUUUUCUCAUCGUACUUUCUCACCACACGUAACGCAAUCUCUCCGCAAUCCCAAACGAAGCAUAAUUUGGAGAUGUGGGUCCCAUCAAUUUUUUUAUUUUUAAAAAAUUAAUUGAUUUUUUUUUUCAUUAAUUUUUUCUAAGGAUGGAUAGUCAUCCCUUUAAUUUGGGGAUGUGGCCCCACUACCCCUUAAAUUAAGGGUAUAGGCCCCACCAAUUUUUUAUUUUUUUAAAAUUAAUUAGAUUUUUUUAAAAAAAUUUUCUGAUUAAUUUGGGGAUGCCCACUUAAAAAAUGGGCAAUCAUCUCUCCUUAAUUGAGGGUGUUGGAUUGUUAUUUUUUUAAUUCAGGGAUAUAAGCCCUACCAAGAAGAUGAACCAUCUGUUAGGUCCUAUGUGUUGGCAAGUUUCGUGGGUCGUGUCGGAGUCUUGAAGAAGUUCGGAGCGGAGUAUUGAAAAUCGAAGAAUCCAAGACUUCGAAGAAUCGGAAAGGACGUAAAACACGCAAAACUUGAAUCACGAUGCGUAGGUAAGUUUUAAAUCUUGUUUAUGGUGAUUCAUACUUAUUUAUAGAUCUUAGAAUCAUAUUUUCAAGUUGUAAUUGAUUAGAAAGUUUCUAAGAGUUUGUAAAACCCGAAACAAUGCAUUUUCAGCGAAAAUUGCAUUGCUGUACCGGUACAAGGGUUUUCUGUCCAGGGUACAGCCAUCAACGUUACGCAGAAAGUUUGAUGGUUGUUCCAGUACAAGGGUUUUCUGUCCAGGGUACAGCCAUCAACGUUGCGCAGAAAGUUUGAUGGUUGUUCCGGUACAAGCUUCAUGCUGUACCGGUACAAGCCCUGUUCCGGAACAAGCUGAAGCUAUCCAGGGUACAGGAGCUUCGCAGAAAAAUCUUCCGUCAUGGUGUACCCUGGACAACAUUCCUUGUUCCGGUACAAGGUGCUGUUUUUGGAAAGAAACUUUCUAAUUCGACUCCAAUUGAUUCUAAAGUCUAUAAAUAAGCUAUUGGGCUUCUCUAACACAUCAAGCAUCAUAAGAAUACAUGUUUGAGAAACCCUAGAGGCUCGGAUUUCAUUUUAAACCUAUUUUCUACAAAAAGCCUCUUUUAGAUCAAAUCGAGAUAUUAAAAUUUGAUAUUAAUAUGUCGAUUUGAUCUCCGCUUCGCUUGGAGUUCUAUUCCCUGGUUUUCUACGAUACUCCUAAGCGACGGAUCACCAUAAUCAUGAUGCUCUUCAUGAACGGCGUCGUGGAUUCGGCGUGAACGAAGACGGUUCGUGGAUUCGGAUCGUGAGCUCGUGGAUUCGAGUGGGCGUCGUGGAUUCGACGUGAUCGAGGCUUCGUGGAUUCGAAGUGGUGACGUUUCGUGGAUUCGGGACGUGGCGUUCGUGGAUUCGGACGUCGGGCGUGGACAACCCGUUGGUGUGCGCGAGAUCCGGAGAAGAUAGAAGAGAGGUUUGAGUCCGUGGAUUCGGUAAAUCACCUUGUAAUCUUUUAUUCUUAGUGGAUUGUUAUCGCGUGUUGGUCCCGUGGGUUUUUUACUCCGAGUUUGGAGUUUUCCCACGUAAAUCUCGGUGUGCUUUUUAUUUUCCGCAUUUAUUUUUAUUGCAUCGAGAUUUGUGGUUUUUUGGCCUUUCACCUAUUCACCCCCCUCUAGGUGAUAGAUACAAUCUAGAUAGAUCCUUAGGCUAUUCAAAACUUUCAAUUGGUAUCAGAGCAGGAUCUAGAUAAAUUGUUAUCUAAUGGCCGAAGGUGGUAACAUUAAUCGACCUCCGCUCUUCGACGGCACGAAUUAUGCCUAUUGGAAAGUUCGCAUGAGAGCUUUUCUAAUCGCAAUCGAUGAGCGGGUAUGGAAAGCUAUUGAAUUCGGAUGGAAACAUCCUACCGAAGUUGUCGAUGGUGCUACCGUCCCUAAACCACGAAACAAGUGGACUAAAGAUGAAAACGAGUCAUCUUCGUUUAAUGGUAAAGGAAUUAAUGCUUUAUUCAACGCUUUAUCACAAACGGAGUUUACUCGGGUUUCGGCAUGGGAAACGGCAAAGGAAAUUUGGGACACUCUACAAAUUACACAUGAAGGUACUAGUUUAGUAAAAAUUCAAAAGCUCCAAAUGUUGACUAGUCAAUUUGAUUCUAUUCGUAUGGAGGAGUAUGAAUCUUUUACCGAUUACUACACUAGGCUUCAAGAUAUCAUUAAUACAUGUGCUAAUUUGGGAGAGAAAAUUCCGGAUACAAAGGUUGUUAUUAAAAUCCUUCGAACUCUUCCGGAACGCUUUCGGGCAAAGGUCGCCGCGAUCGAAACGGUCAAGCAUCCGGACGAUAUGAAAGUAGAAGAAUUAGUAGGAGCUUUACAAACUUAUGAGAUGACUUUUCCUACUAAUCAAUCUUCUUCCAAGUCUUUCUCUAAAAGCACAGGGGUUGCAUUGAAAUCGACGAAAGAGAAAGAUGGAGACUCGGAUUCCGACGGAGAGAUCUCUAUUGCAGACUUUGAACAACAAUUGGCGCUUCUCACGAAGAAGUUUCGUCGGAAUUUUCGAAAGAAGAAUAGAUCGGACAAGGCUUCAUCGUCUAAAUCUUCAUCGUCUACAUCUAAGGAGAAGAAGCGUGCAAAGGCUUCGAAAGAAAAGGAUGUCUUUGAAGGCGAGAUCCAAUGCUUCAAGUGCAAAGGCUACGGUCACAUAGCUACGGAUUGUCCCUCAAAGAAAUCAUAUACUAAGAAGGCGAUGCAAGCAAAGACGUGGGAUGAUUCAACAUCAAGUGAAUCAUCGUCGAGUGAUGAAGAAAAGAAUGAUCAAAUUGCUCUAUUUGCUGAUGCUUCCUCGUCGAAUAUUGUGUGUUUAUCCUCUUUUGCUACUAACUCCAAUAUGUCUUUUUCUUCACAUGAUUCAUCGAGCAACAAUGGCGAAAGUGAAGAGAAAUCAAACGACGACGACAUAGCGGAAGCGUACAAUCAACUUCUUAUUGAAUCAAAGAAGAUGGCUAAACUCAAUAAGAAGUUGAGACGUCGUUUGUUGGAACUUGAGGAGGAAAACAACAACAUGAAGACUUUGAAUAAAGCUCUCGAGGAGGAAAGAGAAUCAAAUUUGAAAAAUAAUUCAAUCCUCCAAGAGAAGCUAGAUGAAGCGGAAUCAAUGAUCAAAUCUUCUAACGACAAGAUUGGAUUUUUGGAGCAUCAAUUUCAUGAAUCGCACAAGUCCAAUCAAGUCUUGACCGAUCAAGUUCGUCAACUCCAAUCCGAUCUUCAACAAUUUUCUUCGGGAUCAAAGAAGUUGGACAAAAUGCUUGGAUUGGGUCAAACGAGCAAAUUGGGUCUUGGAUAUGAACGGACAUAUGUUGAGAAGGAUCAAAUGGCGACAUCUAAAGUCUCAACAACUUCAAAAGGCAAAGUGUGUCAUCGAUGUGGCAUCGAAGGACACAUCAAAAGGAAUUGCCCAAACAAAAAUGGCAAGUCACAAUUGGCAACUUCAAAACAUCCAUCGGCUUCAUCUACAACUCGACUUCCCCCGCGGAAUCAAAAGAAAAAUCAAGUGAGUCGAGUAUCUCAAAAGAACCGGUUUUCUAGCACACAACGUCAAUGUCAAGUUUAUACAAACCGGAUGUCUAAUCCUCAACGACAAAAUCAACCGAAGUCUCAACCGAAGAAACCAUCAACGGUUAAUAAAAAAUCUAAACAAAUGGGACCUAACGUCGACAAGUCGAGAAAACCAACGAUCCGACAAGUUUGGAUCCGAAAAGGUGAUAUCUUUCCUUGCUCCUUGUCUUAGUCAUUUUGAUCUUUAGUGUAAUGCUUUGAUUGGUGUUUGUUGCAUAUCUUUUAUUCAUUGCAUUACAUGAUGAGUCUCGUGUGUAAAAGUUUUUUAAAUUGAUUUGAGGAAAGGUGUUUGGGAAUUUAAAUUUUUGAGAAAGGAGAUGAUUGAGAAUCAUUAUUCUGAGAAGAGAAAGUUUUUUAAAAGAUUGGUUAAACGGGUUUAACUUCACAAUCAUAUUAAGUUAAAUUCAUAUUAAUUAUCGGUUUUACUCCACUUUUUAUUAUUUUGACGAUAAAUUAAUAUAUGAUUUCUUAAUGCAUAAAUUCAUCAAAAUUUUGAAAUCAAAUUUGAUUUUUUGGUGAUUAAUUCGUCUUGGUUGUGAGUGUUGGAUAUGAUGAAUGGGUAUUCUCUAAUUGACUAAAAUUCGUCAAAAUUAUUUUCAAUUGUGAGAUUGUCUAAUUUAGGGGGAGUUUGAAAUUGUUUAAAAAUAAAAAAAAAAGGGAGAAAAAGAAACUCCUAUGUUUAAAAGAUGUGGAAAGAGUUACAUCCAAACGGAGUGUGAAAACUACCACCACAUGUAGGAAAGAGCUACCACCCCGGUCGUCCGGCAAGUGUGUGAAGCUACCACAUGAAGAUUAAAUUGGGUAACCGAAAAAGGUUGGAAAAAUUGAAUAUUUUAGAAUUUUCGGAGUUAUAAGGUGGUAAGAUAAAAAGAUGCUCAAAGAGCCACCCCCGGUAUCAUAUUAGUUGAAUCUCUAUUUUGAGUGUGUUACGACAAAUUGGUGUCAAUUUUUGUUGAAUUUCUAGAAAUCAUUUUUCAUCAACUUACAUCUUGAUGGUUUUGAAUCAUUAAAUUAUUUUUGAUAAUAAAAUUUUGAUGUUUUGAUGUAUUUUGAAAUUUUAUAAUAUCUUAUUGUCAUUAUAAUGAUUCUUGGAGUAAAAGCCUUAAUUUAUUUGAAAUUAAUUUAAUUUGAUAGAUUUUUAAAGCAAAUUUUUCGAAAUCUGAGAUCGUUCGUCGAGCUUAGAAAGCUCUUUCACUGCAUUUGCAUUUUAGGAUGAUGUUUUAGUUUCAGUUCUGCUUGUUUUUUCUUUUAGGCCUGUAAUUAUGACUUGAUUACGCUUAUGUUUUUCUAGUAUGUUUUUUCUCUUUAUUUGCUUUCUUUUGGCAAUUUUUGACAAAAAGGGGGAGAGCAUAGAUGAAGGGGGAGAGCAUGGAUGAACAGGCAUUGAACAGUUGCAGAGGAUGAUGAGUUCAAGAACAAAGGGGGAGAUGUGAUCGAGAUGUGAAGAACAAAGGGGGAGAAGGUAUAAGAAUUUAAGGUUAAUCAUUUUUGAAUGAAUUGUUUUGCAGGAUUUCAAGACUUCAAGACUCCUAGUUGCGUCUAAGUCAUAGAGUCUGUUUUAGGAGUUUUGAUGUAAUUUUGAGUUUCAAAUUGUAUUUGGAUUACACGCGAGGGGUUCGAUGUUUUGGUGAUGACAUUGAACUUCGUUUUUUCAUUAAAUUGUAAUUUGUGAGUUUGUGUGUGUUUUGUCACGAAAUUGCCAAAGGGGGAGAUUGUUAGGUCCUAUGUGUUGGCAAGUUCCGUGGGUCGAGUCGGAGUCUUGAAGAGGUUCGGAGCAGAGUAUUGAAAAUCGAAGAAUCCAAGACUUCGAAGAAUCGGAAAGGACGUAAAACACGCAAAACUUGAAUCACGAUGCGUAGGUAAGUUUUAAAUCUUGUUUAUGGUGAUUCAUACUUAUUUAUAGAUCUUAGAAUCAUAUUUUCAAGUUGUAAUUGAUUAGAAAGUUUCUAAGAGUUUGUAAAACCCGAAACAAUGCAUUUUCAGCGAAAAUUGCAUUGCUGUACCGGUACAAGGGUUUUCUGUCCAGGGUACAGCCAUCAACGUUACGCAGAAAGUUUGAUGGUUGUUCCAGUACAAGGGUUUUCUGUCCAGGGUACAGCCAUCAACGUUGCGCAGAAAGUUUGAUGGUUGUUCCGGUACAAGCUUCAUGCUGUACCGGUACAAGCCCUGUUCCGGAACAAGCUGAAGCUAUCCAGGGUACAGGAGCUUCGCAGAAAAAUCUUCCGUCAUGGUGUACCCUGGACAACAUUCCUUGUUCCGGUACAAGGUGCUGUUUUUGGAAAGAAACUUUCUAAUUCGACUCCAAUUGAUUCUAAAGUCUAUAAAUAAGCUAUUGGGCUUCUCUAACACAUCAAGCAUCAUAAGAAUACAUGUUUGAGAAACCCUAGAGGCUCGGAUUUCAUUUUAAACCUAUUUUCUACAAAAAGCCUCUUUUAGAUCAAAUCGAGAUAUUAAAAUUUGAUAUUAAUAUGUCGAUUUGAUCUCCGCUUCGCUUGGAGUUCUAUUCCCUGGUUUUCUACGAUACUCCUAAGCGAAGGAUCACCAUACAUCAUGAUGCUCUUCAUGAACGGCGUCGUGGAUUCGGCGUGAACGAAGACGGUUCGUGGAUUCGGAUCGUGAGCUCGUGGAUUCGAGUGGGCGUCGUGGAUUCGACGUGAUCGAGGCUUCGUGGAUUCGAAGUGGUGACGUUUCGUGGAAUUCGGGACGUGGCGUUCGUGGAUUCGGACGUGGGGCGUGGACAACCCGUUGGUGUGCGCGAGAUCCGGAGAAGAUAGAAGAGAGGUUUGAGUCCGUGGAUUCGGUAAAUCACCUUGUAAUCUUUUAUUCUUAGUGGAUUGUUAUCGCGUGUUGGUCCCGUGGGUUUUUUACUCCGAGUUUGGAGUUUUCCCACGUAAAUCUCGGUGUGCUUUUUAUUUUCCGCAUUUAUUUUUAUUGCAUCGAGAUUUGUGGUUUUUGGCCGUUUCACCUAUUCACCCCCCUCUAGGUGAUAGAUACAAUCUAGAUAGAUCCUUGGGCUAUUCAAAACUUUCACCAUCAUUUUCUUAAUUGGAGGUGUGGGGAUAUGAGCCCCACCAAGAAGAUGAAUCAUUAUCUUCUUAAUUGGAGGUGUGAGUCCCACCGAAUACUGUUUUUUUUUUUAUUUUAACUCGAUAGAUAUAUAGAUAUACUAAAUUUUUUAAUUUGGGGAUAUAAGCUCCACCAAGAAGAUGAAUCAUUGUCUUCAUAAUUAGAGAUGCGGGCCUUACCAAAUACUAAUUUUUUUUUUUAUUUUUGUCACGCCCCGGGGUCCCUUUCAGUUUAAAAGAUAGCGGAAAAGCGUCUGAAUUUUUUUUUUUUUUUAUAUAUAUAUAUCUGACCCCAGAGUAUGCCAGAUCCGCCACAAAUACAGGAGAUCCACUGUUCACACGGACAGAGUCUCCCCUGUAUUUGCACGGCGUCGCACAAGUACAAGAGUACAACCAGGAUACAACCACAACUAGAUGAGUAUAAAGAUAACUAUACAUUCAUACAUUCACCAUUCACAUCACAGUUUUACAUUCAAUGUUUAAACAGAAAUCCACGAAAAAUCCUUUUAAAAACUGUUUCCUACACGGAAACCUUUAUUCUUUAAAAACGCUACCACGAGGGGUAGAAAACCUUUUAGUUUACCAAAUCCAGAAAUCCUUUUAUUACAUUCAUGAAAAUCCACAUUUUCAAAUGUAAAUAAAUACUGAACCAUACAAGCUAUCUAUGCUAUAUCAACAGAAUAGUAAGGGUAGAAACCAAACCGAACAAUCUGGGUCGGAAGAUCUAUCGACCGCUACGUACGUAUCUCGCGUCUCGUCCCAAUACACAACGCCUGCGAUACCUGAAAAAUGGUGGGGGAGGUGAGAACAUGUAAACAUGUCUCCCCUCCCAGUGGGUAUCGCAAGCCGAAGAAGGCGAGGAGUACUCACCGGAUCAGGAAGAGCUAUACAACAACACGGGUCAGUGGAAAUAUAGCAGCAACAAUAAUAAACGAAAGAGAUAUGUAAGGUAAUGAGCAGAUAUACCGAAUACAGUAGCAAUAAACUGAAAGAAAGUAAGAACUAGAUUGAAUAACGGCUACCGCUACUGUAACUGAAAUCGAAAGCAUACAUGAAUAUCUACUAUAGUAGCAAGACAACUAUAAAGUAAGAACUGUGAAUAUGCAUGCAACGACUGCUACUAUAGACAUAUGCGUCAACGGACGAUAACCUCAAAAGUACCCAAUCUCGCUGCCCUAUUGGUCCGAAGACCUCAGGCACAUGCCACACUGCUCAACCUGUACCUGACCCUCGCAAUGAAGCCCCUGGGUCAGAAGCAUAGUACCUGACCCUCGCAAUGAAGCCCCUGGGUCAGAAGCAUAUACCCUCGCAAUAAAGCUCCUGGGCUCACGGGUUGGCAAUCCAACCACUUUUCUGGAAAAGAACACCCUCUUGCGGUGGAUCAGACCGCUGGUGUUCGUGAAAUGCGUACCUGCAGUGGCGAUCAAUGUAGUAUGCUCAAAGAUCUUCCAUCGGCAACUAGCCGACAAUCCAGCCCCUUAGGGCACACCGACCGUAUAGGCCAUCAACUGUAAGGAAGCACAAGAACCGACCACUCAGGUCAACUAGGAUGGGACAACAUCGACAUCCUCUCAACUGUAUGUAAGUACUGACUAAUCAAGUCAACUGGGAUGGAACAACUCAAUAUCCUACCAAAAGUAUGUAGAUACUGAUCAAUAAGUCAACUACUGUAUAUAUGCAAGAAUCGAUCAACAAGUCAUUUGAGUAUAUAAUUUAGAACCACCGUCGGCCACUAGCCGACAAUCCGACCCCUCAGGGUACACCGACCUCAAAGGUCAUCAAACGACAUAAGUCAAGGAACCGACUGACUAGGUCACCGAUCUCACAGGAAAUCACGAAACCGCUCUACUCUAAACAUGAAACAGGAUAUGCAGGAUAGCUAAGUAGAGCAACAAGAAAACAUGGUAUCACAUACAGAUAGACUAUACUCCUACACAUGAUACUAAGCAUGGAAACAUCUGAGUAGAGUAUAACCAAACAACGUGGGUGCUAGGCUCAACACUAUAUAUCAAAAUAUAUAUAUGCCAAAUAAUAACGAGAGAACAAGGUAAGAAACCAUCACCGAGCAUGCACCACUGUACCGACGUCGGAUCGAAGUACCCACCUGUACAACAGUCGCGCCUGUCUCCUGACUGCAAAAGAACGUCAACAGGACCUAAGGAGGGUCCACUGGGUUAGUGUCUAACCCACAACUAAGAAACCCUAAAAGCAUAACCCCACAAAUACCACUGAAUACACAACCCACAGACAAUCCCACGGAGAUCGGUUUCCCAAAACCGAUUACCGAACAAACCGGAAGUCUCAAAAACCGGACCGAGACUCUGUCGGGACCACUGAAUUGUCUCGAAACGCACCGACUCAUACUACGAGUCACCUGCUGCCCCAAAACAUUCCAAUUUGGAUGUUUUGGCAGCAAACACAAGAUAACACCACUACACAAUUAUCGUCGGAUAAUUGUACGAAUCCGGGUUCCCGAAAGUGUCUAUUUCGACACCGGAACCCACCGCCGCUCACUCCUCAUUUCUGAACUCUCGAAAUGACGCGAGUGACCAGCCAACAAGGCUCAGCGACUACACUAUAGCUCACAAAGCACCGUCGGAAUAAUUCCGAACCGAACCCGCGUUCCGUCGGCGGAUUUCGCCGAGAAACGCAUCGGAAAUUACUUUACAAUCUCCGCAAGGGCUUGGGACCUUGGACAAUCAGUCCAGAGGUCACCACACACACUUAUACACUGCCCACAUUAGCCACAAGGCGCACAAUUGCACAAAAGUCCCUAUGUUUACAUAAAAUCCAUCAUUUUAUGUAAAUCGGGCGACUCCUAUGACUCGUUCUCACAAACUGAGGACUUCUAAGUUCCGCCAAGACACGUACUGACAGGUCUCGACGUGCCGGAGGCCGUGCUCAAGGUCUGGAGCGCAACAGGUCACAGUGGGAAGCGCGGGAGUAACCCGAAGUUCUGCGAACAGUGCGCAGUCGGGGAAGAUCGCGCCAAACAGGGCUAACCGGACACUGUUGAUCCAAAGUGAGGUGAGCACUGUGAUCAGCACUGACCAACGAUCACCGUGCUCACCUCCGGAGACAUCAUGACAGCCUCGGAUCGCCGAAUAAGCGUGCGCAAACCCAAAACAGCAGCCAAACAGGCUCUAUAGGGUCGACACCGCCGAAACAGCGGAACGGAGUCUCCCCGGCAGAAACUAAGGUGAGCACGAUGAUCAGAAAUUUGCUACGGUCAUCGUGCUCCCUUCCGAAGAGAUCGGGGAGGCUCAGGAAGCUCAGAACAAUAGACCAUCCAAACUAAGCCCUAUUUCGGGCUUGGCCGGAGCAAGCUUGCUCCGGCCGGCUUCCGGCAGCAUGGCGGCAUGCGCGGCGGCCAGGGACGGGUGCGGGGGAGGUGAGGAGUACCGUGCUCACCUCGGUUGACGGCGGGGUGCUGCUGCGGCGUCGGGGAAGCAAGCUCAGCCCGCAAGAGCUCCGGCUUGGGUUCCACGGGCAGUGGCGGCCACGGCGGCGGCCGAGGAGCUCCGGGACGGCGGAGGAGGGUUGAUGGAGCCCGGAGAAGGGUAAGCUAGGCCGUCGUUGGGCGGCGGCUGCGCGCGGCGGCUGAAGCGGGCCCAAAGUUCGGCCCAAAACUGACGCAGGGCGCCGCAGGCGGUUGCAGCGCGACCGGCGCGCGUCGCGACGGCGGCGGCGGGGGGAAGACGCCGAGGCUCUGGAAAGUCGGGCCGGGUGGUCACGAAUGGCGGCGGUAGCAGAGAAAAGGGCCGCAGGCUUACCUCGCCCUGGGCUCGGGCUGGGGACGGCCUGCUGCUUGCUGGAGAUGCCUCGCGGCGUGCGCUCUGGCGCCUCGGGGCGGCGGCGGCCGUGUGCCUGAGGUCGAGGGACGGGUGGCAGGCGGCCGCAAGGGAGGAGGUUUUGAGUCCUCCCCUUGCUCGGGUCCCAAGCCGCUGAGAAGGAAGGUAGGAACGAAGAGAAUGGAGAGGGAAAGAAAAGGCUGCCGCGGUGGUUGUGCCUGGCCGGAGGCUCAGUCGGCGGCGGCCUGGGAGUCGUGCGGCUAGGAUGCAGAGGGAAGGCAGAGGGAGGCUGCUGGCUUGGGUUGGCUAAUUCUAGGGUUAACGUAGGUUAUGACCUACGGGCUCGAUCCCAAGACCCUAGAAAGCAAUACUAAGUAAGGCCAAGGGGCAAAAUUUGCAAGAUAAGUCCACACUAGAACCUCACUAUUUCACAAGCUAAAUCCUCACCACAGCGUGGAGUAAAACACGCGAAUACCCCUCCACGUGCGAUCUCCACGCAAAACGGUAACAUAAAAUAUCGCGACUUUCGCAAAAAUACCAAUUUUGCCACUCACCGACCUCUCCUCGAUCAACGUGCGAUCUCCGUAGAUCCGUCCGUCAGAUUUGCGAACGGAUUGUACCAGGUGCGAUCAGCACUUCGGAGACAACAAAGCUACCAUUUUGGUUUCACCUCGAACGGUCCACGGAUUCGCGACGAAAAUCCAAUCCUUCUCUCCAAUAGAAGGCCAAACAUGACGCACAAAAUACAUAUAAAACGCGUAUUUUUAGAUUUUCUCAAAAUCCGUGCAUCAAAACUCAAAAUCCGUCAGCGCCAGUUAGUUCCAGAAUAGCUGAAUCCGGUCGAAAUGAGCUAUUGGACUGCUAUGAACGGAGUCCGAUACGCAGCCAGAAGCCAACUUCUACUCCGUGGCCUUCUUCCGGAAAACCGGAGUUACUAUUCACUUUAAGUGAAAACUAAUAAUCGCGUAACUUCUCCGUUUAAGCUCAUUUUCUCCCCGAAACUUGACGAGUGCUUAUGUAAUUAAAUUACACACAUAAACAUCGUCAACAGAGAGUUUAGUUGCACAGUCAAAAAUCUCAGUCCUUACAAAUUAACCCGAAUAGAUAUUAUAGGUUUGUAAGAAGAGAGGGAGGCAUAUGACCUGAAUGCUGUUUAUUGUCGUAAGGUGGAGGAGGGCGUAGUGGAGAAUGUAGCCGUGCCGCCGGACGAGGACAAUAGCGGUUGCAUUGAACGCGUAAGGGUUAAACCGAUCACGUUGUCGUAAAGCACGUGCCGCCGUGCGGUGCGCAACAUGGGGAGCCUCGAUCACGGGGGCGACUGCAAGCCUCCAGCGCACUCUGAUCGCAGACCUAAUCGUGUUCACGCGACCUCGUCCACGCGCUCAUCCAUCGGUAUGCUGGCUUCGGCUCGGGGAUUGCAGUCGACGCAAGCGUGGACGUCCGGCGGGCCGGGCGGAGCGGCACAGGGCGGUGGGGGUUGGAGAUCGUGUUGAAGGCGAAGAAAGCGACAACGCUCGUACCGGCGACGACAAGCCGUGCGUGUGGAUUUCAAGCUCUUCUUUCUCUCCCCCUUCUUGGUCAUUACUAUUAAAAUGAAAUUUUUGUUUAUCUUUACUUUUUAUUUUUUUUUUCCCUUUGUUAGAACUUUAUGAGAAACUAAGAUCGUACCUUCUGCCAUGACUUUGAUUUCUGUAGCCGAUUUGUAGGCGGCGAUCCUUGCUCGUGAUUCGUCCUCGUUCGUGAUCUGCAAGAAGGCAGGACGUUUCGAGUCUAAUUCCCUUAUCCCCGGAGAUGGAACCGUCACAGACAAUUAGAUUAGGGUUAGACCGGGACUCCUGUAUGUUACAUAUUUAUAUAUAACUUAAUGUAAGGAUGUUAAAUCACGUCCGUCCAUCAAGGACACGUCCAAAUACAUCCUAACCGUAAGAUCUACAAAUAUCUUUAUAGAUCAACUUAAAUAGAUUGACCGUAUCUUUACAGGAUCGUCCUUGAAUAUAUCACGUGGGCCACAUACCAACAUUCUCCCACUUGGCCUAAUGACAUAUUCAUUACCGCAUAGGCGAUACAAAAAAAAAAAAAAAAAACUUUAUUAGGUACCAACUAAAUUAUACAGUCAAAAUCUCCCACUCGACUAAGAAAUCACAAUACUUUGAUCAUAGCGGUUAUGCUCCAAAAGAUGAACACUUCCUUCCAUGUAUCAAAAGUACGAAUUCCUUAAUCAAAUAACUUUAUGAGUUACAACCGUAUGAACUUAUUAUAAGUUCAACUCAGAGUCCCACUUUAGUGCACAAUAAAACUUUUAAUGUACAAAAAUAACUUUAUGCGCAUAUGUGCAAAAACCAAAAUGUGUUCUUAUUCAAAUAAAAAUAGUCUUUAAAGUCUUUAUACAAGAAGAAAACACUUAAACUGUAAAUGGACUCAAGAUACCCAUAUGAUGAAUAUGAUCCUUGAAUUUGUUUGCCGGCAAUGCUUUAGUCAUAGGAUCAGCAAUCAUCUUCUCGGUCCCAAUGUGUUGGAUAUCCACCUUCUUCUUGUCGUAUUCCUUCACAGCAAGGUACUUUAUAUCGAUAUGUUUGCUGCGAUCUGUAACUCGACUAUUCUUGGCAAAGAACACUGCAGCAGAGUUGUCGCAAUAAAUCUUAAUUGGCCUUGAGAUAGAAUCGACAACUCUUAAACCUGAGAUAAAAUUUCUCAGCCAUAAAGCCUGUGACGAAGCCUCAUAGCAAGCGAUGAACUCUGCCUCCAUAGUGGAUGUAGCAACUGUAUCUUGCUUAGUGCUCCUCCAAGAUAUAGCACCUUGAGCAAGUAAGAAAAUAUAUCCUGAUGUGGACUUUCUGGAAUCCACGCAUCCAGCAAAAUCAGAGUCCGAAUAUCCAACCACCUCAAGAUGGUCAGAAUGUCUGUAGGUGAGCAUAUAAUCCUUUGUUCCUUGUAAAUAUCUCAUAACCUUCUUUGCAGCUUUCCAAUGAUCAAGGCCAGGGUUGCUUUGGUAUCUACCCAACAUCCCCACUGCAUAAGCUAUAUCAGGUCUGGUACAGACCUGCGCAUACAUUAAGCUCCCUACUGCAGAGGCAUAGGGUAUGCUCUUCAUAUGUUCUCGUUCUAAAUCAUUCUGAGGACACUGUUUCUGAUUGAAUCUGUCACCUUUUAUAAUAGGUGCAGCUGUAGGUGCACAGUUUGCCAUAUUAAAUCUUUCUAGAACUCUUUCGAUGUAGGCUUUCUGAGAUAGACCCAAAAUCCUUUGAGAUCUAUUUCUGUGAAUCUUUAUGCCAAUGACAAAAGAGGCUUCACCCAUAUCCUUCAUCUCAAAAUUCUUAGAAAGAAAAUCUUUGGUAUCUUUAAGCAAACUCAAAUCACUACUUGCAAGCAGAAUAUCAUCCACAUACAGAACUAAGAAAAUAUACUUACUCCCACUAACCUUAAGGUAUAUACACUGGUCCACAAUAUUUUCUACGAAACCAAAUGUAGUAAUUACAUUAUGAAACUUGAUAUACCACUGACGGGAAGCCUGUUUAAGUCCGUAUAUAGAUUUCUUUAGUCUGCAAACAAGGUGAUUACUUUCAUCUGUGCUGAAACCUUCGAGGCUGUUGCAUAUAGACUAUCUCCUCUAUAUCCCCAUUUAGAAAUGCCGUUUUCACAUCCAUUUGAUGUAACUCUAAAUCGAAAUGAGCUACCAAAGUCCAUGAUAAUUCUUAAUGAAUCCUUCUUAGAUACCGGAGAGAAGGUUUCAUGAUAAUCAAUGCCUUCUUUCUGAGUGAAACCUUUGGCAACAAGUCUGGCCUUAUAUCGUUCUAUGUUACCUAAAGAGUCCCUUUUGGUCUUGAAGACCCAUUUACAGCCAAUGGCUUUGACUCCUUGUGGUAAUUCAACGAGAUCCCAAACUUUGUUAUCCGUCAUAGAUUUCAUCUCUUCCUUCAUGGCAUCAUACCAUAGGGAGGAUUUAUCUCCCUGCAUGGCUUCUGAAAACGUCCAUGGGUCUUUAUGGUGUCCAACAUCAAAGUCAGACUCCUGAAAGAUAGACUACAUAAUCAUCAGGAAUCGCCGAUCUCCUUUGUCUUGAGGAUCUUCUUAAGCCAACCUCUUCCUGCAGAUUUUCAUUAUUCUGUGCAGCUGGCUCUAUAAUUAUCUGUUCCUCUUGGGACAGCUCUUCAUGGGGAGGUUCAACUGGUUCAGCAUUUUCAUGCUCUAAAAUUAAUUGAUCUCCAUUAUGGUCAAAUUGACCUCCUGGUAAGAGCAACUAAAUUAUUAUCUGUUGAUGGAUAACCAGUUGAAUCCCUUAUUUCCUCAAAAUCCAUCUUUUGAGGAACAACACUCCCACUAGUUUCAGAAUCCUCAAGAAAUUUAGGCAUUCCUGGCCUCAACUAUCUUGGAUGGGUGAUUUGGACAAUAGAACCUGAAUCCUUUGGAAUUUACCGCAUAGCCAAUGAAAUAUCCACUGACUGUUCGAGGGUCCAGUUUUUUUAUGUGUGGAUUAUAAACCCUCACCUCAGCUGGACAUCCCCAUACGUGCAGGUGAUUUAAACUAGGUUUCCAUCCUUUCCAUAACUCGAAAGGAGUUUUGGAAAUAGCCUUCGAUGGAAUCCUAUUUAAUAUAUACACCGCUGUCUUUAGUGCUUCACUCCAAAGAGAAGAUGGAAGACAAGAGCUACUAAUCAUGCUCCUUACCAUGUCCAUGAGUGUUCUAUUCCUCCUUUCGGCAACGCCAUUUUGCUGGGGCGUGCCAGGCAUCGUAUACUGUGCAAUGAUGCCUUCACCUUUGAGGAAUUGACCAAAUGGACCGAUCAUUUGACCUUUAUCCGUAUGUCUUCCAUAAUACUCACCCCCUCUGUCGGACCUUACAAUAUUGAUUUUCCUAUCCAAUUGUUUCUCUACCUCAACCUUAUAAGCUUUAAAAGCAUCAAGAGCCUCAGCUUUAUCAAAUAAGAGAUAGAGAUACAUAUAUCUUGAAUGGUCAUCAAUAAAUGAGAUAAAAUAUCUCUGACCGUUGAAACAAGGAGUAGGAAAAGGUCCACAAAUAUCUGUAUGUAUGAUCUCAAGAAUUUCAGAACUCCUUCUGGCACCUUUAGUGGUAUUUGUGUUAGUAUGCUUUCCCUUUAUGCAUUCCACACAAGUACCAAAAUCGGUAAAGUCAAGAUCUUGUAAGAUCUUUUCUUUUACCAACCUCUUUAUUCUCUCUAAAGAGAUAUGAGCUAAACGCUUGUGCCAUAAAUAGGAGGAGUUUUCUUUAAUAAUGUUCCUUUUAACACCAAUGUCAUGAUCAACAUUAAAAUUAUUUUCAAAAGAUUGACUCAAAUUAAAUUUGUACAAAUCAUCUACCAAACAACCAUUGCCAACAAUAUUAUCGGAGAACAUAGUAAAAGAUUCAUUUUCAAAUAAAAAUUUGAAACCUUUAUUUCUCAAUUUAGAAAUAGAAACUAAAUUUCUAGAAAAUUUAGGAACAUAAAAAGUAUUCUCAAGUUCAAGUACAAAACUAGUUUUAAGUUCUAAAAUAAACUUUCCUACGGCUUCAACUUGAGAUUUAUUUCCUUCUCCGCUAAUUAAAAUCCUUUCAUUUGGCUUUAACAUCGUUAGAUUAUGAAAACCCUGUAUGGUAUUUGAAAUAUGUACAGUAGUUCCAGAGUCAAUCCACCAUGUGUUUUUAGGAACAUUAACUAAAUGAGAUUCAUAACAAAUAUAGAUAGUUUCAAUGCCCUUCUUUUCGUGACAAACUUUGUAGGAGCUAACAAACUGCUCCUCAAUGGCCUUUAGGUAAUCCUUGGCUUUAUCACAUUCUGGAAUUGAUCCCCUUAUGCUUUUUUGAUACUCUAGACUUUAUGAGCAUCAAACUUAAGCUGUUGGAUCGCUCCCACUUUUCCUGCGCAGAUUCCUGCUGUGGAGUCAUUGACCCCACUACCUUAGGCGGUUGCUCAACGCGCAGAGCCAAGUCUAAAUCCAUAUAACCCAAAGUUAAAGAAAUAAUUUCUUUCCAAUCAGAAUAAUUGUCCCCAGUAAACAUAGGAAUACGAGAAACAUCAUUAAAAAAUGCAGUAGAGGAAAAAGCUACAAAAAUAAAGAAAUAUAGAACUUUAUCGCUUGCUAAAUAAUAAUCUUUAGAUUAGAUAAAUUCUACCUUCCUGUGGGCAGAGGUGCUACACGCAUAGAAUUCAUCUACUUUAAUAAUAAGACUAGCAGAAAAUUAAUUUCUAAACAACAAGAUUUCUGUACCUGUGGGCAUAGGAAGACUCGCUAUCUAGAAAUUCAAUCCACUAUCUUAUUCCAGUCAACAUUUAGAAAAUUAAUUUAUUUGACUGCAAUAAAUAGUCAAACUUUAUUUCAAUAUCAGUAAAUCCUUAUAUAUUCUUCAUUAUCUAUAGGAUGCUGUGGCUACUCCUGAGCAUAAUGAAAAAUACAAAUAACUUUAAUUCAAUAUCAAUAAUACUUUAUAUAUUUUUCAUUAUCUAUAGGAUGCUGUGGCUACUCCUGAGCAUAAUGAAAAAUAUAAAUAGCUUUAUUUGACAUUGAAUGACAUUAUUUGACAUUGAAUGACUAUUUAAAAAAAAAUUGGGAAUCCAUAUGAAUUUUCGGAUCAACUUUAAUUCAAUAUCAUCUUAUAAAAAUACCAUAAGAGAUCAUAUACCAUGAUUAGGAUGCUGUGGCUACUCCUAAACAUAGUUAAUUUUACAAGUCCAUAUAUGAUAUGAAUAACCGAAAAUUUCAUAUUAUUCUAAAACGCAGCGGAAAGAUAAAAGUCCAAAGUAAUUUUCUUUACAACUUUAUGUGACUCAAAAUUUGUAAACUGUAUGAAGUCUAUAUUCUCUACUCUAAAAUUUUCAUGAUCACCUUAUAUAUGUUUAGAGUAAUAAUGCAAAAAUAUACUGUAAAAUAUUAAACUAAACAUACUACUUUAUAUCAUGAAUAAACAAACGAGUAGAACAGAAAUUAUAUAUAACAAAUACCAAAAGUUAUACAUAAUUUUAAUAUAUAGACUUCCUCUAAAAUAAGUCACAUUGCAAAGAAAAUUAUAAACCAAAAUUGUAUAUAUAUAAAUAUAUACCUUUUAUUUUCUUUUUCAUUAAAGAAUAAAUAAAUAAAUAAUCCCUUUUAUUUUGUGUGUUGGUUGCACACCAAGGCAGCCCCUCAUGUGGAAAAAUUCUAGAAUGCAACGGGUAUAUUAGUGACGUGGCGUAACAAACCAAUCAAAUUAAUCCUUUUAAGAAUAUAUGUCCCAUCAUGAUUGUAAAAAAGUAUUUUUAUUGUACUUUUGUUUAAAAAGAAGGAAUGUGAUUGGCUUGUUAUUGAUGACGUGGUGCAAGUGUGACAGUAUAGAAUUCCUCCCUCAUGUGUGUCUCGUACGGCCCUAAUGGGUCGUAUGGCAGUCACAAAAUUUCUCUUUUUUUUUUUUUUUUUUUUUUUGUUUGACUGCCACCUAGGCAGCCCCAUUACGGGCUGCCUAGUGCCCGUUGUGCGCCGCGCCUUGUGCGCCCGGGUGGCGUGGUGGCGCGAGUCCGCCAGGCUGCCCCAUUGCCCCCCUCUUUUUUUUUUUUUUUUUUUUUUUAAAUCGCUUGAUGCGGCCCAUCCGUGACGUCGUUACUCCGAACGCCGGUCUCGAUUGAGGCUGGCCGACGUCACCAUUAACGCAAACCAAUCGACAAAAUUUAUUUAUUUAUUUAUUCUUUAAUAAAAAGAAAAUCAAACGAAAUCCAGAAAGAAACGAAAAUCCGGCAAAAGGUUCUGCUCUGAUACCACAUGUUAUAAACUCUAUAAAAAUUAGAUCGUACCUUCUGCCAUAAUUUCGAUUUCUGUACCCGAUUUAUAAGCGGUGAUCCUUUCUCGUGGUUCGUCCUCGUUCGUGAUCUGCAAGAAGACGGGACGUUUCGAGUCUAAUUUCCUUAUCGCCGGAGAUGGAGUCGUCACAGACAAUUGGAUUAGGGUUAGACCGGGACUCCCGUAUGUUACAUAUUUAUAUAUAACUUAAUGUAAAGAUGUUAAAUCACGUCCGUCCAUCAAGGACGUGUCCAGAUACAUCCUAACCGUAAGAUCUAAAAUAUCUUUAUAAAUCGACUUAAAUAGAUUGACCGUAUCUUUAUGGAUCGCCUUAAAUAUAUCACGUGGGCCACAUCCAACAUAUGUAUCAUCGCCGGUACAGAAAAGACAAAAAAUUAGAGAAGAAAAAAGAAGAUGAUGAAAUUUAUUGUUAAGAUAAAGUUGUCCAGCUUCAAAAAAAAAAAUUACACUGUUUGAAAAGAAUAUUGCACUUUUUAAGACGAAUAUUACAUUUUUAAAAUGAAAGUUACUUUUUUUGGAUGAAAGUUGUACACUUUAUUUUAAUAAUGCAAAUUAACAUUUAACAAUAAUGUGGGGCCCCUAUCCCCUUUUGAGGAGAAUAUUGCACUUUUUAAGACGAAUAUUAUAUUUUUAAAAUAAAAGUUACUCUCUUUAGAUGAAAAUUGUACACUUUAUUUUAAUAAUGCAAAUUAACAUUUAACAAUAAUGUGGGGCCCCCAUCCCCCGGCCCCUAUCCGGUCAAUCAAGGACACGCUCAAGGUGGAGGCAGCGGCAGCGGCCCAAGCGGGAGGCGGAAGGCUAAGGCCGAGGAGCUUUUCCGGCCGCUUGAUGGCGCAUGUGUGUCUGUGCACCGCCGCCUCGUUGAUCUCUUCAACGAGUCGGAUUUUUUUUCAUUGCAGCCAACGACUUCCUCGUCGAUGUUGAUGUCGUAGUCGAUGGCUUCCAAGGCUUCAAAUAAUGUUUAGUUGCAAUACACUAUUAUUAAAUGUUUAUUUACAUUAUUAGAACAAAGAAUGUAAUUUUUUUUCAAUGUGAGCAACUUUUACUCAAAGAGUGCAACUUUUGCCUUAACAAGUAUAACGUUUGUUUCAAAUAGUGUACUUUUUUUAAAAAAAAGUGCAACUAUAUCUUAAUAGUGUAAUUACAUAUGCUUUUUCUUUUUUCUCUAUUUUUUGGCAUUCAUUUAGCAGAUGAUAUAUAAUGAUUUUUCAAAAAAAAAUAAUAAUUAUUCAUUAUUUUUUAUUUUUUUUUAUUUUUUAUACUCUGCAUUUUUUUUCACUCCUUGGAGAAGCGCGAAUGCGUCUUCGUCCUUCCUUUCAUGAGCAACAGCGAGCACUGCCUCGGUCACGACUUAUCACCUUUGUCUGCUCUGUCCUCACCUCACCUGUGCCUACUCCUCCUUCUCCUCCUUCUCCUUCUCCUCCUCCAACGUCGGUGGAGAAAGAGGAGGUUGCGCCGUUCUCGUUACCGUCACCGAGGGCCGCAGAGCACGAAAGUAGGAAGAAAAAGAGAGAAAAAAAUGGCGAGAAAGAAGAAGAUGAAACAUACAGAAAAAGACGAGUGUGAAAAAGAAAGAGAGAAAGAGAAAUAAAAGUAUUUUUUGGUCAGUUUAUUAAAAAUUCGAACUAAAUCUGAAAAAUCAAAAAAACGGUCUAUUUUUGUAAAAUUUUAAAAUUGAUGAAUUUUUUAUGCAAAUUGGCCGAUAAAUUUCACACGAUUGGAUACAUUAGCAGAUAAAUCUUUUAAAAGUGUUUUUAAUGAUUCGUUAGCUGCAAUACAUUACAAUCAGAGCAGAGAUGAUUACUUAAAAAAAAAAAAUCAAGAAGCAAACAAAUUAUUUUUUUUUCACAAAUAAAUAUCUUGGACAUAAGAAUUAAGGGUUUGUUUGGUUCAAGAGUGGAAUUGAAAUGAAUAAUGGAAUGUGAAUGAGUUGGAAUGGCAAUUGGAUUGCCCCACUCCCCUAACACGUUUGUUUUAUUUCUGGAUUGAAAAUCGGAAUGAAUUAUUCCUAUUUCACUGUUUGGUUGAUACAAAGUACAAAAAAAUAGAAUAAUAUAAUACUAAUUUUACUUUUAAAUAUAAUUUUAUAAAACUAUCUAAAAUUUAUUAAAAAAAAUUAAUACUACUCUCAAGUUAGAGCUAUGCCAAAAAAAAUUGAAUUUAUUUUAAAAAUUUUUAUGCAAGAAAUUACAAAAAAAAUACCAUUUUUUUUAAUAAUGAGAAAAGAGAGAAAAGAUCGGUAUAGGAAGAGAAAGGAUGGAUAAGAUGGAGAAAUGUUGGGCUAGGCUUGACGAAGAGGUGAGUGGUUUCCAAGCCCGGAUUGAAACUUCAAUUCAGGCUUGGAGACCGGAAUCAAUUUGUAAGCUAAUGGAUCAUUCCCAUUCCGGAUCGAAAUGGGAGUCUCAAACCGAUUCUUGUGAACCAAACAAAAUUAGUAGGAUUUGAUCAAACCGAUUCCCAUUCCGGAUCCAAAAUGUACGAACCAAACAUGUCUUAAAUGUUAAUCGAAUCUCCCAAAAUGAUUCCCAUUCAGAGGGUAAGGGAGUCAACUUUGAUUUCAGAAGAGAUUGAAAAAAGAACUCUGUUAUUUUUUACUAACAAUUAUUUAAAUUUAAAUAUUAAUCAUGUUUAAUUUUAGAAUAAAUUAUAAUUUUGAUUAAAAUUUGAAUUAUGAAAUUUAAUUUUAAUUUUAAAUUUCUUAAGUUUAAAUAUAAAUUCUAAUCUAGUUUUGAUAUUUGAAUUUAGUUGAAAAUUUAGGUUUUGAGUUUGAAUUAAAAUUUGAAUGGUAUAUUCAAAUUUUAAGUUCAAAUGUGAGUUCAAAGUUGGAUUCAAAUUUUAAUUACGAACUUAGAUAGUAAAUUUGAAGUCUAAUUAAAAAUUAAUUUUGUUGAAUUUUAAUUUGAAUGUGAUUUCAAUUGCAAUUCAUCUCAUGAGCCAAACAAAAUUAGGAGUUUUCAUUAUUCUGUUUUCGAUUUCAAUUCAUUUUUAUUCUGAUUCCAUUUAAUUUUUAUUUUGAACCAGACACAGCCUAAAAGUACAGACAAAGUGUUAUAUCUUCACAAAACACCAAAAUAAUUAAGUGCAAAUUAUUUGCCAGUAAAAUGCUACAUUUAAUCACACUAUGACAUAUAAAAUAUGGUACUUUACUAUCAUGCGAUUUACGAAUAGUAGUAAUUUGCUACUUUACUAAAUGACAAAUUCUUAUGGUGAAAUAGAAAUAAAAAUGAUAAGCUCACAGAAUAGUGUGAGGUCAAAUGCUCCUCGAACCCUUUCAUUCCUUCAAACGAAGUUGUCCACCAAGCUUCUAGCACCAUAAAAGAAUUUCUAAAAAAAUUACAAGUUUCGAACGAACAUCAUACAAAGAUACUUAAAAAUAAGCCUAAAUAGAUAGAAAAUUACCUUUACCUAAGGAGAACUUGAUCAAAGUCCCAAUUGAAGCUACAAAGCUUCAAAUCUAACCUAAAUGAGAGUUUUACACUCAUCAAUUUAGCCCCAAAGGCUACAAAUCAAAAAGACCCAAAUAAAACCCUAAUUUUUUCAAAAUUAGGUUUUCAUCUCCAAAUCUUAUAAAAAUCAUAAAUAAAUGUUGCAAGAAGAGUACUAACCUUCGAGAAAGCUUCAAAUCAAGUUAUCUUGAGUUGGGGUUAAAGAUUGAUCCACCAAGAAGCUCAUCUCUUCACAUCAAAGCUUCCUCCAAGGUCCACAAGCUUGCCAUCAUGAAAAGGAAGAAGAAUAGGAGAUCAAAAUCGAAAUUAAAAAAGGUAUGGGAGAGAAAUCUAGAGUGAGAAAGGGAAAAAACCUUACCUCUCCUCUUCUCCAAACUCAGCACAAAAAAGGGCUCUAGGGGAGAAAGGGAUUAUAUAUACAAGUUGUAACAAAUUUCAAAAAGCCCCUCCAAAAUUCAAAAAUAACAAACUGCACGAAAUGUAAUUUUCUACACUGCGUACCGGUACUCGGGCAAGAGUACCGGUAUCCAGCAAUAAAUCCUGUGCAACCGAGCCUCUGCCAGGCAAUUUUUAUUACGGCGUACCGGUACCCGGCCAAUGCUGUACCAGUACUCGGCAGCCCGCAGCUCAAACCCGAGAGCAACAUCUCUCGGUUACGCACUGGGGUUUCGGUACCUCUCUGUGGUAUCGGUACCUCUCUGUGGUACCGGUACCCAGCACCCCAAAACCUGAAUUUUUAGAUUUUGGUGCUAAAUACUCCUUCUCGCGUUCUCGCAACACGAGUAAUGGGUCGGUACUCAGUCAACGACCUACAGAAACACUAGGAAUAGCUCAAAACGCUAUUCUAACACUGAAACCUCGCAAUUUACUAAAGUCCAGUGUGCUACAUUCUUCUCUCCAAAAAAGUAGUUUCGUCCGCGAAACUAAAAAUCAACCACAACACAAUUUCAUCCGAAAAAGGUAGAAGAAGUGCUCAAGCAGCGCACAAUCCAGUUCCCAAAAGUCUCGAGCAUGCCAGAUUGCCCCAAGACAUCUUCACAUUGGGAAACCCGCGACUCCAUACGUUCAACACCUCGCAAGCCAAAUCUUCCACGAUUACUCCUCGAACUCAAAUCCUCAUAAUCACCUCUUCUCGGUGCUCGUCCGACAAAAAUAUUCUUUUAACGUUCCAAGUUCUUUUUAAUAUACCUCUAGAGUUAAAUUUUAUUAGUCAACUGUUAGGAAUAAUCAUUAUCUUUGUAAAUUACUAUUUUGUCAUUUCAAAUAUACUCUUCUAUCAUCAUCAACUUUUUUCUUAUUUGCCCUUAAAUUUGAGGCAAAAGAAGUAUUUUAACUUUUGACCAUUUACCCCUCCGGGAUCACCAAAUUUUUUUUAUUUGUCUUUAAGUUAGGCGCAAAAGAGUUAUUUUGAUUUCUUUUUAACUUUGGUAGAAAUUUAAUUUCGGGUUUAAUUCAAGAUGACUUAACGGGCUCUGACAGUCAGUAGGAUUAUUUUUGAAUAACGGAGAAAUAAACGAGGGGUAUAUUUGAAAAAAAAUAAUAAUAAUUAAGAGUAUAUAAAAUAUUUCAGAAUUUUUGAGAGAUAUAUAAGCAAUUAUCUCUAAAAUGGAAAUAUGCUUAACUGUAGUGGGGACUAAUUGAAGCUUACGCUAUAAUAUGACUAUGGGUCCGUAUUAAUUUGUUGCAAAAGAUAUUAACAUAAUGAAUAUGAGUCCAACUCAUUGAAGCUUAAGCGUCUCUAUAAGAAAGCUUCAAGAAUGAGUACAAACAAGGAUACAACUCAAGUAACUAAACAGGUAAGAAGAUAUGAAAUGAGAAGGAAAACUAAAUUUUGGCAGAAGUGCUGCUAAGUCGAUGUAACGAUCCGAUCCGCUAGCAAUAAUAACUCGUCGGGCCGAGAUCAUCGGCUCAAAACCAGUUAUUAUUACUAGCAUGUAAGCCUCAUACAAAUUGAUCGGAAUCAGUAUUCCAUUCGAUGUGGGACUAUUGGGGCGUUACAGUCGAAGGCCUCAGAUGCAUCAGUUGCUGCAUCAGAUGCAUCAGUUCAGUUCAAUGAAAGUAGCAAGCAAUUAAAUUCUGAAAUACAUUACACCAGAUUUUGUGGUCGUAUUGCUGAGUAAGUUAGACAUAACAUUACCUACUACCUAAGAUCACAAGCACUGUAAAAGAUUCAAUAGUUAGCAAGAGGGAAAAUUCCACAAGACUAUAACAACCUAGGUAACAUAAAAAUUGAAGCAAAAUACAGUGAUGUGUCACUUCAGGUGGAGUAUUUCUAGUGUGUCUACUUUCUUGGACAUGUCCAUAAGGAACUGAAUAUUGCAUCUGUGCUCCUAUACAUUCCGUUCAGAUAGAAAGAAAAGAAGAGAAGAGAAAAGAAAGUUUGGAGAGAAUCAUGUUCUCUCAUUUGAAUGUGACGCGAGAGGAGAGCAGAGGGGAACAGGAGAGAAUAAUAGAGGAAAUAAGUUCCCGAACUGUCCAUUCUUUUUCUCUCGAUAAAUGAAAAGAAAGGGAGAAACGAAACUAACACUAUCAAAUACAUAUUUUCUCUUCUUGCUUUCCUAUGCAUCCAAACCACAAAGACCAACUUUACUUUCUUUUCUCUUCUUAUCUCUACCUCAUUGUCGUUCUUUUUCCACUCCAUUUGCUCCAUCCAAACAAAGCAUUACCGCAAUAAAAAUAAUUACAUCGCUAAAAUACAAAAUAUCAAAUGAUUGUGGCAGAACAAUUACGUCUGUCAUAGAUUGCGAUGUUUGGGGUACGAGGUACGAAGGCAGAAUGUGCAAGUAGAAUGAGCACAUUUUCAAUUGACAGAAAUAACUCAGUAUCUUCGAUUUUUGUGGUCUGAUAACUGCAGGAGAUAGAAAUAACAUACAAACUAGGAUUAUAUGCUUUACAAAAUACGUACCAUGAUGGUACAGCUAUAACAUUCAAUCUAAGUCAAUUCUCUAUAUACAGCAGAAUUCAAUGCUAAGAUACAGAUGGUAAAGCUUACAAACACAAACAACUACAUGAUGGGGAACAAUGCGAGUCAAUUGCAAAAUCUUCAUGCAGCAUAUGCAGCAAAAUCCUACAUAAUCACCUCCAGAAUUAGUUGUUGUCUUGCUGAUGGAAUGAAUCAGAGGUAGGACAAUCAACAAAGAAUACAUUAUCAUGAAUCCAGCUUCUAAGGAUUACUUUACAUGUACGUAAUUGUUCAGCUGAUUCAUUUCAAGCUUUCUUGCACAUUCUUGCAACACCCCCUCUAAGGAUGAUUACAAGAUAAAAGAAAUGAAUAGCUUGUGUGUUGUACGAUAUUGAGUAGACAAUGGAAAGAGCUGGGACAUUCAGUCAAGUAUCCAUUGUUGGAAGAAUAAAUCUCGGAUUUAACAUCCAUCCAACACCUUCCCAACUUGAGUUUCAGCUUGAAGAUGUUACACGACUAAUUGCUGAUCAUCCUGAUUUUUAUCUUCAACGGAAUCAAGGAAUUACUGUGUUUCCUGCAUUUUACGGUCACUCAAACUCCAGUGAGGAUUUAUCAACCUAGCAAAUGGCAAUCAUUAGAUUAGUCGCAUAUACUGAAAUAACCAACCAAUAAAUUGCAAAAUGAGUAUGAAGACAACUAACUUUGCAAAGAAGAUAAGAUUGGCAUACUGAAUCAUGCUUGCUUCGUCACAAUAUUGCUCUCUUCUCAAUGUGUGUAAUCUUGUUUGCUGACCACUUCCUGACACCAGAUACCAUUGAGGGACACCUGUCGAUAUAUAACUCCUCCAGCGAUAAGAAAACAACACAAUCCCCUGAGUCUGGGCAGUUUUCAACAGUCAAGCUUUUGAGCGAGGUGAGCGACUGUAAAAUCAAAGUAUGCAGCUUUCACAGUCCUUUUUGAUGAGAUUCUUAAGCACUAUUAGAUUUUUCAGUAAGAAAUCCACUUGUACAGCACCAGAGAUUGUCAAUGAUUGCAGAGAUGUGAGACAUAGCAGCCAUUUUGAUACAUUUUCGAUGGAGCUUGGCAAAUGAGCUCUUCCGAUUCAUAUAUCUAAGCUUCGCUGGGAGUUAUCAUCACGGCUGAUUUUGUACUCAAGGAGAUACCAAAAGAGGAAGGAAAUGAAGGGGGUUCAUCACGGUAGCCGAAAUUCAGUGCAUAAAACUGGGUCAGAUGAGGCAGAAUUUUCGAAAAGAACAAACUUAAGUCGUUAUACUCAAUCUCUAAUAUGGAGGCCAAUUGUGCUGAUGUUUUUAUCUACUGCUGCAGUGAAAUGUGUAGCGGCUGAUUCAUAACAUGCGGACAAUAUGUAAUCUCGAUAUCUUUAAGGGAUGAACGAAUUCUGCUCUCCUCUGCAAGGCAGAAUUCAUAGCAGUAGCUGAGGUGAAGGCUUAGAAACACUCUAUAGGUCAGGGAUUGGAAAGCUUGGAACAUCUGCUGAUGGUUAAAGUCCUUAUCUAAUUCGGAAAGUGCGGCUGCGAAAACCUUUCUUGUUGCAUCAUCAACUCCGAGCACUAAAAAAGGUACCAGAGGCAGCAAGAACAAGGAGGAUGCAACGAGUCGGUAGCUGUGCUCUCUGACGUGCCAUCUUAGCUUUAGCCGCCACUAAUUGUUUUAAGACCUUGCAGAUCGAGUCCCACAAACUUCAAUUAUCCUCACUUCAGGGGGAAAGGAAGGCCUUGUCUCCAAAUUGGGGCAGUCCUUCAUAAAUAGCUCAAUCAGGCAAGGGAAAGAUUGAUCUUCCUUUCUUGCCGACCACUCCUUCCACUUUGGCAUGUGACAGAAAGACAGCUUCCUCAGUGACGGGAACUUCACUUCUUUGGUGUUUCCAUAGAACUCGUGGCCAACCUUUGUCACACCAUACAUCCUGCAUAUCUCUAGUUUCUCAAGAAAGAAGAGAUGGCCGAGGCUUGGAAGUUGUUUCAAAUACGGACAAUCAUGUAGCUUAAUAACUUUUAAAUUCGAGGGCAUCGCCUUGUUAAUCCAGCAUGGAGUAUUGAUACCCCUGUAUCGUGCAAUUGUCAGCUUCCUUAUAUUUGGAUGAGGUUGGAGUUUUUCAAGCACUCUCAGAUCUAGUUCUGAGCUUGCAGAAACAAUAUCCAUUCUGGACCAUUUCAGUUUCAAGAUCUCAAGGCGACGCUUGUUCGCUAACAUCGCUUUGCUGGCCUCAGUCUCACUCUCGACGUUCUCAAGACCUCGAAUAGAAAGGCAUCCUCGUAGCUCAUUCAUUUCCUUCAGCUCCCCGAUCCUAUGGUCCGUGCAAUCGAAUUUUUCUAGCUCCUGAAGCAAAGUUAAGCUUCCAAUACCUGCUACUUUUGUUUGUCGACCUUUUCUGGUGAAAGAGGGUAGUGAUCUAUCAAUCUUAAGAUGCCUUAAGUUUGUUAAUUUGCAGAUACCUUCUGGCAGGUUCUUCAGCGAUUCACAUUGCAACAGCACCAGCGUUUGAAGAUUCUGCAGUUCACACAAUGAGGGAGGCAAAUCCUCCAGCGGAUUAUUAGAAAGAUUAAGGUAGCGGAGAUGUUUUAAAUUGCUAAUGCAUUGUGGCAACAUUUUUAUUUUCUUGUUCCUUAAAUCUAAAACCCGCAAGGAUGUUAAGCUCUUGAACAAAUUCCCAAGAGUAUCAUCCAACACAGUUUCAUAAGUAUCUAAGAAUAUUAAAGUGCGCAUGCUUGUCAGAUUCUCUAAAUAGUUUUGUGCCGAUUUGUCCAGACAACGAAAAAUCAGUGACAAAUGGCGAGGACUUUGAGAAAGUCCCGAUAAUUCACCAGAGGAUUCUAUUCUGCUACAUUCAUCCAUAGAGACAAAUCGCGCCAGAUCGUUCAUCAAGGCAGGCAUUACGUAUUUGUCCUGUUUACGUAGAAAGAUUCCCAUGCUGAUUAAGUGAUCAAAAUAUUCAUUUCCAAUAUCUUCGACUCUUUUCUUAUCUCCCGAUUGAAUGAAACCCUGGCCCAUCCACAUUCUGACUAGGUCGUCCUUAUCGAAAUCAUACUCCUUUGGAAAUACAGAACAAAAGGCAAAACACUGCUUCAGAUGUGCAGGUAGGUGAUUGUAAGUUAGUUUUAGAAUGGGCAUUAUAUCAGAGUCAUUUUGUUGCAUUUGCCAUAUUUCGGUUUUCAAGAAAUCCUUCCAGUCGUUCUUUCCUAAUUUUGAGUUACAGAGUUGGCCGAGUGUCUUGGCCGCUAAAGGCGACCCGUUCAACUUCUCUACUAUCUUCUUACGCAUUUCUUCUAUUACGCGGAUGCCCUUGGUUUCCUUACCCAUAAAAGCAUGGUGUGUAAACAAGGACAAAGAAUCUUCCUCCGACAAUCCGUCCAAGAUAUAGGGAGACAUCAUUCCCUUUAUCCUGGCAACGCUGCUGUUUCGCGUUGUUACAACAAUCUUACUGCCUUGCAUCUUUUCCGCUAAAGGUGCCAGCAGAUUCUCCCAUUGAACUUGGUCAUCACUCCACACAUCAUCUAGGACGAGUAGAAACUUUUUCAACAUUAGCUUCUCCUUAAGACUCCUCUGGAGCAUGUCCCAGUUCGACGUAUCACAAUGUCUCCCAAACGACGCAGAUUCCACAACCUCCUUCGUGAUCCUUCUCGCGUCGAAUGCGUUCGACACGCAGAUCCACAUUCUUAGAUGGAAAUAUCGUCUGACCCUCUUAUCGCUAUACACUAGUUGAACAAGGGUAGUCUUCCCAACCCCGCCUAUACCUACUACAGGAAGAAUAAAGGCAUCUUUCUUAUCUCCACAUUCCUUGUCAUACGAGGUCAGAAUCUUAAUAAUCUUCAGCCUGUCUUCCUCCCGACCAACUAACUUAGACUCAUCUACGAAGGAACCGGUCAACCGGUUGUUCAGGAUCGGAGGGUAACCCCCCGGCUUAUCAUCUAGCUCUCCUAGUUUAAAGUUGCCCCACUCCUUCACCACGCGGUCCAGCGUCUCUCUAGUAGUGUUAAUUCUAUGACAAGUUUAGUACCAGCGAAUAUGUAUCGGCGGAUGAUUGCUUACCCGAUGCUGCAUUUUCUUUUCUUUUUUAGUUGGAGGACCGUGGUGUUGAAGAUUGCGUCGAGGCAGUCGUCGGCUUCGUAGGGCGGCGGUCUUUGAGCUCCCUCGGAGCCACAGAAUGAGCCGUGAUCAUAGGACCGCCUGCCUUCGCCUCGGCCUGGGCUGACCACGCCCUGGGUUUCAGAGAAUGGUCAUGUUGAUCCCUUUUCACGUCGGCCACCACGAUCCUCCGACGGGCGUUCCACUUCUCCUGCCAGAAGUUAGCAUAUUUGGCGAACAAUGUUAUUGAGGAAUGUUAUAAUGAACUUCCGAUACGCUGCCGCAAAGACAGAAUUGGCUCCAUUAGUUUUCCGUCUCCGAUCCAUCUUCACGAGCACAAGAAACAAAAAGUUUUUGAAGGAAUCAGAUUCUCCGUGUUUCUUUGCAGCGACUUGAUCAUUAGCCCACUUUCUAUAUAUAACAAAUGCCGAUUUGAGUGAUGCUACCAUCUUGAUAUUAAAAAAAUUGAAAAAAGGCCGCCAAUGAAAGUAAGUGUAUCGUAGAUGUUGGUUGGCCAUUCAACUAGACCAAUGUAGUCAACACUUAAAAAUGAUCAACAAAUUUAUUCCUCCAGGAGGUGACGGCGAAGCUAUUAUUGCUGCUGCUUUAUGAAGCGACGAUUGUUGCCGAUCUUUAUGGAAUAUACUCCCCAUUUUCGUUAAAUAUGUUGACUUAGAUGGCAAAGUCUUCACAAAUUAAUUAAUUGCAUAAAGCUUGAGUAGUGGGAAUAGAGAAGAGAAGGGAAGGAGGCCCGCCCACCGGUAGUAGCAAGUAAUGAGGUGCUGUCAGCACUCGUCGAUCUGCUGGCAUCUUCUGUCCUCUUUCUUCAUCUAAUCUGCUGGUCUGUCUUCUCGACUUCUCGUUAGGGUUGUUAGGAAUUAAAAAAAAUAUUAAAAAAAAUAAAAAGUACCUCUCAGAUCUGCCAAAACUUUUUAAAAAGUUUGAAAUUACCAUAUAAUUAACGGUUAAUUGACCUUUUCGCCUUCUUUUUCACUUUAAUGUCCAUUUUUUUUUUUCAAUCCAAUCUCCAAUCUUUUCGUUUCUUUGAAACUAUGCAUCAGUAUUUAGCCAACUAAAUUGGAUUGCAAUAUUUGAUUGCAAUAAUUUAACAAGUUUAAACUAAAAUUUAUUACAAAUUAAAUUUUAAGAAGUAAAAUGUUUCUAGCCACACAGUUUGAGGACCAACAUGCUGUGACUGUGAUUCCUUGGUGCUGUUCACUUUUGGGAUCACGACGCGUCGAACUGCUUCUAUCCUUGGGGACGGACCGGUAUUCGGUCCAACGCGUGUUGACUCUGGACUUACAGGUUAUCCGAACCCUUUAAACUGAGAAGAAAUUAAGCAAGCUGUAAUUCUAACUGGGGUGACAACGCGCCGGACCGGGACGGAUUCCCUUUAAAAGUUUCUUCAAAACGUUCUGAGAACUGUUAAAGAGGAACAUGUUGAGUGGUCUUCCUGGAGAUUAUGAGGGGAGGCUCUCCCACGGCAGCCAUCGAUUAUACUUCAUUUGCCUUAUCCCUAAAAAGGAGAGGGCGUGCAGUCAACGACUUUAAACCUAUUUGUUUACUGAAUGGGAUCCAAAAAAAUUAUCUCUAAGGUUUUGGCUAACAGACUAAGGACAGAUUAUGACGAAUUUUAAUUUCCCCACAACAAUCGCCUUCCUGAAAGGCAGGAACAUUACUCUUGACAAGCGUUCGCAGCUUUGGUUCCAGAACUAAUUGGUUUGGGGGAGUAAGAAGGUUAUGAAGGUGUCGGGAUAAAAGUGGAUUUUGAAAAGGCAUACGACAGGAUUCACUGGCCAUUUUUAUUUCAAAUUCUACGUUGGUGGGGGUUCAACGACAAGUGGUGUGGUUGG